rnacentral:lncRNA from 1 species
AAUUUGUUAUUCUAUAGGAUUCUAUAAACCUGGAGAUUACUUAUAAAACAGAACAUCAGGGGCAAAAAGUAUUGUAGAACAAAACUGAAAACUUCAAGGAUCUUGAUGGUGUACCAAACCAAAUGUCAACUGGAGCUCGACCAAAAACUAAGGUAAGGAGCUUUAUUACAAAAUACCUGGCAAGAGCAUCAUACCCCCUUAUACAGUGCUGUUUACCAAGGGAAAAUAAAUUCACAGAUUUUUUUACUUUUCAUUUUGUUUUUAAAUUUAAAUUAUGGUAGACCAUUUUUUAUUACAACAUGAGGGAAUUUAUAAUGAAAAUAUGUGAAGUUGUUAAUAUUUACAAACAUUAUGUAGUCAUUAAUAUUUACAAAAUAAGAAAAAAUUUCUUUUCACUGUUGAGGGAGAAUGAUUAAUCCAAGGUGACAGGUAGAGCCAGAGUAAGGGACUGUAUGCACUUCAUUUAAUUUCUCCAGUAUAAGUGGAAAAAUAUGCUGCAGUUGCAUUUCCUUGGCUAUUAUUAGAAAAGACUUCCUAUUAAGAUGGUUUGUUUCCCAUGGAUCAGGUGUCCAGAACACAUCUACAGGACAUUAAUUAAAUAAUGGACAUUAAUAAAACCCAGAGAAUUUGUUGUUGUGUUUUUGAUAUAAUAAAAAUAAAGAAAAAUUUACCAGCCUUUCUUACAGAUAUUUUGCAACUUUUAAUCAGAUUUGUAAUUUUUUUCUGAACAUUUAAAUUUUUUUUUCACUCUUUAAAAAUUGAAUCUGAAAAUAGAUAUUAAGUCCUUACCAGUAUUGGAUGUAUAAGGAUGUUAAAUAAUAAUUUACAAGAUUUUAUACAGGUACUUAUAAUUCUUGAUUUAUGAUACUCUGGCUACUUUAUGAUGUAAAAGAGUAAUAAUAAUUUUAUGAGUAAAUAUGAAGGUAACAUUAUGCAUUAUCCUGAAAGAAAACAGGAGAAAUUUUUAAAACUUAUCUGAAGUGGGAUAAUUUAAGAGAUUGCUUGCAAAGUUAUGGGCAAGGUUAAGAGAAACAAGUAAUUCCUAAGAUCGUUGAUUGCCCAGCAGUUUGCCCAGCAGAUCUUUGUUCUUCACGAGCAAAUGUAGUCACAACCAAAUUAUAGAAUGACGGAGAAUAAACUAAGAGAGCUGCUUCUAACCUUCUAACCUUCUGGGACUCAAAUUGACUAAAUUCAUGGAGAAUCGGAGGGAAGAGCAUUUGACUGAUGCAGGGAAUUUUUAGGACAGUGAAACUACUUUUUAGAACUAAAUAGUAGUAUAUACGUGUUGUUAUACAUGUUUUAAAAAUCCUUUGAACAACAGCAAGAGUUAAUAAUGUAAAUAAUGAACUUGGGGUGAGUAUGACGUGUCAAUAUAGGAUUAUCAGUUGCAACUAUGUACCGCUUAGUUGGGGAAUGUUUGUGGUGGGGGAAUGUAUGCAUGUGGGAGGUGGGGGAGACUUGGGAAAGCUCUGUACAUUCCUCUCAAUAUUUCUGUGAACCUAUAAGGUCUCUAAAAAGUAAAAUCUAUUUUUUAAAUGUUUUCUAAAUUAAAAAAGAAAAAUAUAGUACAUCCUAUCUAUUCUCUCUUUUGGUAAAGAAUGAUAGACAACAUCAAACUUUUACACUCAACUUUCUUUUUAGAUCAUUCCUAGCCCAAGAAAAAAAUAUUUAUUGCAUUUAAAUUGAUUUUUUUUUAAGAUUAACAGUGAAAGUUAAAAAGGAGAAAACCAUUAUCUUUAGUGUGAUGCUAUAGUUCAUUGCCUAUUGCCUCUUAAGGGAAUGUAAUUUAUUCAAGAGGCAUUUGGGACCUCUCUUAGUUGUUUUCCUAAUAGUACUUUUUAAUUUUUUAAAUUCUCAUUCCUUUUUUAAAUUUUUACACUAUGCUAAUAAUUAUUCUUGGACAGAUGAUUUAUUUCCAAAUUAGUUCAUUCAGGAUAAGGACAGAAUAACUAUAUAAGUUAUAAUAUAAAAACAUUGGAGAAUAUUUAAUUUCCCAACCCAUUCAUAAGAUCAUAAUCUGAGUCCUCAGUCAUCUUAGUGACACAAGGAAUGGAGAAGAUACAUAUAUAUCCUCAGAUAUUGAAAAUGGGAUCCAUUUUGGCCUCUAAAAAUAUUUUCCUGUUAUCUGUUGUCACCACCAACAGUGUCAUAGGUAUUCCUUCUAAGAUAUUUUCCUGUAAAUAGGUAGCACAUAGUACAGGCAGGGGCCCCCUUGGUAGAGGAAUUCUUGAUUGUGUUCUGCCUGUGGAUCCUUAGGCAAAUGGAUAAUAGAUUAUGAAAGCUUUCUUGCUGUUUUCCUACUCUAGGGAACAAUCUCUAAAAGCUGGCUCAUUUUUGGUUCCUCUGAAUACGUCAUGAACUUAGAGUCUCCUUGAUAGAGAAAGAUUGCCAUAGGCUAAUUUUUUUUUCAAAAUAAGAAACAAAUAUUUCUGCACAGAUUUAUGAUUUAUGGUGGCCUAAUGUGAGUUCAUUUGUGUGACUUAUUAUCAUUGUCAUUUUCUCAGACUAGUCUGCAAAAUCCAAUUUUAUCCAUAAUAUAUCUAAUGUGUAAAAUUUACUGUCCUGUAGAGCAUGCCUGAAGAAUACUUUUUUUUAAUGUAGCUGUGAUUGCUGAAUACUGAGGGGCAAGGCCUCUUAACUUUAGACAGUGUUCCCCCUGGGCUAGCACUACACAGAGAAUGGAAUAUGAAGGUCUUAUUGUAUGUGUCUUUUUGCUUAUUGUCUUAUUGCUUGUGUUAAUUAGCUUUCCAUUACUGUAACAAAUAUCUAAGAUAAUCAACGUACAAAGAUGGAAGGUUUAUUUUGGAGGUUUCACUUUGUGGUUGUUUGGCCUGUUACUUUUGUUUCUGUGUUAUGAAUGCACAAUAGAGGAAGCCUUCACCUCAUAGGCAGAAGAAAGAGUAGAGCUCUGAGGUCUUAGACCCACAAUGACUUGAAGUUCUCCAACUAGGCUCCACCUCCACUAUAUCCCAAUAGAGCCACAAGCUGAGGACCAAGCCUUUAACACAUGUGCUUUUGGGGAACAUUAUCCAAACUACAGCAUUGCUUAUCAAGAUUUCAAGGCACUUUUAGUACAAAUUUCUGAAGUUCCAAACAUGGUUUGUACCAUGGUAGAACAACUCAUUUCUAUUCAUCUCAGAUAUCAAUCCCUAGGGUCAAAGUAAAGCAUGAUAGUUGUUAACAGUAACUAUAGUAUAAGUGAGUUACAAAAACAGUUCAAGACUAACACUGGGCUUAAAUACUCCCACCAAACACAAGAACAGGGUAUCUCAGUAUAGACAUCAGGUCAGAGCUGCCAUGUAUAAACGACAUGCCCUACUCAAGGGCCCCCUUUUCUAAUUUGCACAAAGAUACCUUCUUCUUACCAAGCUUUUAGUCCCUAAGAUGGUGAAUACCAAAGAAGAUGUGUUUUUUAAAUCUUUAUGAAAAAUAUCACAUGGGCUAGAUAGGCUAUGAAAUGGCUAAAGGAUGGUCUAGACCAUGUCAACAGAAAUGACAAAAAGCCCAAGGCGUGAACUAUAAAUUUGGCCAAGUUGCCAAGCUGAGAAGUCUUUUAAAAAGUAAUCCAAGGCCACAGGGGCCCCAGUUGAAAAUAUGACACUACCCUGGUUCUGGCUCUCAGCUUUCAACCUGAAAGAGCAGGCCAGGCACAUUUCUGAGGUCAUUGAUUCAUGAGUAGGUUUUGAUUUAUGUUUAGUUCACAGCUCAUGAGUGUGGAGCAAAGAGGAUCUGUUGAUGCUGGUAGCUGUAUCCUAGGCAGAGAUCAACAGGGUAUGGACUGGCCAGUUCCACAUGAUCUACCUCAAGAACCUGCAUCUUCAGUCCUCAUACUCCUACUGAGAGUCCUUGGUCUCUGGCUGCCAUGACAUUUCUAAUUACCUGGUCUGAUGCCUCUUGAACUAAAUGUAUCAAGUCUUGAAUUUUAAAUCUCCUUCCUUAGUGAAAGGCAACUUUAGUCAAUUCAUCAUUCAAGUCACAAACCUGGGAAACACCCUAUUUUCUGUUCUCUCCCUUAAAUACACUUUGAUCAUCACCAAAUCCAUCUUUUCUACAUUUCUAAAAACAUAAUGCUUUGCAUUUAUGUCCCUAAUGCCACUGUCCUAGGUCAGUUAUCUUUCACCUGAAAUAUACACUGUUAGCUGGUCGUCUUCUUUUGGCAGCAAAUACCCAUAUUUGUUAUCCAAAAUGCAAAUUUUUUAAAGGUUAAAUCUGAUCAUAUCUUGCAGAAUGCUAAAUCUGAUAAUAUCUCUGUUCUAUGGGGAAAAUCCUUCAGUGUAUUCACAUUAUCUUUGAUAGAAAAUUAAAUUUCUGUAUUUGUCAGACAAAGCCAUUCAUGAUCUAUUCACACCUACUUCUCCAUUGUCCUCUUUCUCUCCCCUGACUUUUACUUAAUGUCAUAUCAGGUUACUUUUAGAUCCUUAGGUCUUUACUGACUCUCCUUGUAUUUGCAUCACUUGCUCCUUUGACCUGGAAUUCCCUUUCUGUCUUCUUCACAUUAGUUCAUUUUACUAGGUUCUCAAGCUCUGGUUAUAGAAAGUCCGUGUUCUUCGGGCAUUUAUCAUAUUAAUGCCUUUUAUAUGUUUUUGCUUUUCCUUCAUAGAACUUGAAGCAAUUUCAAGUCCAGACUGUACCACUCAUCUUUGAAACCUCAGUGCUAGGCAAAGCAACUGAAAAUAGUAUGCCCUCAUGAAAUUCUCAAAAACAUACUAUGUUCUCAGUAUUUUAGCUAGUAAGAGCACCUUUCUGCUGUGGUGUAUUGGACAGAAAUUGCUAUUUGGAUACAUGUGAACCAAUGUUUUGGCAAGAUACAAACACUAGAAGGAAGAGGGAUAUAUACCAGAAAAAUUUACUGGGUUUCAGGAUGUCAAGAAUUAAAGAACUGUCAGGGACAAAGACUUCCGUCUAGAAGAAGUUCCUAGAAGAGUUUUUCAUCUAGGACAGACUUGUAGUUUUUCCUCACCCUCCCAUCCCUUGCCUUUUUUUGUCUGAGAGAUGUUGGCAGCAUGCUAUCCUUUCCACUGCCACCUUCCCUUCUUUAUUUUCAGCUAUUUCUUCCAUUCCUUGACUCCUAAGACAUAAGAAAACUGGUCCCAAGAAAGAAAUCUCUUCCUUCUCCAGCACUUCUAAAGGGUUUUACUUGAAAGUAGAACAAAUAGACAAUGAUGAAAAAAGUCAAUACUUUUAAUUUUUCCUUAAAGAGUAUUGGCAGGACAUAAGACAGAUAGAAGACAGGUCUUGAGCCAUGUUUCUUAUACUUUUCGAAGCCACCUAUGUUUAGUGAAUUUCCUAGACUCUUGUUAGAGAAAGGAAGAAUAAUUAAAGGAUAUCUAUAGCCUUUGUAAGAGUUGAGAUGAAACAGGGGCUAGGGAUUUGGCAAAUGAGCCUUUUUGCUAGAAGACAGGCAGCUACAGAAAUAUGGGAGAAGGAAAGCCUCAGGUGGUGAUGCUAGGGGAGGACAUCCUGCCUCUUGUUACUUUUUACUUGCUGUUAUUUCUAGAAUGACUACCUCAUGGAUCCCUGCCUGGGCUCCUCAGUAGGGGGAAGUUCAAAGGAUUUUUGUAUGGUUAAAGGAAUGAGGAAAAGUUUGUGAAACAUGUCUUCCCAGUAGCAGCUGUAGAGGAAGCAGAAUUACUUUGGCUACCAGACUAAGGCAGCAAUUCCCAAGGGACUAUCUGUACAAACACAGUGGCCCAGGAGACAUAAGAUAGAGGCUGACUAUUACUGUGUAUGUGUGUUUCUUAGUAAUAUCAUAAAGAAUGAAACACCUAAUUUACAUUUGAUUCUAUGAUUAAAUCAUGAUGAACUAUUCUAGAAUGUUUAUGUACUUCUAUUUGUCACCGCAGACUUGGGAGAAUAUUUGCCAGAGCUAGUAUGUACUGAGCCAUCUCUGUGUAAAACGACAUCUGUCUCAGGAACACAGCCCACUUGUGUGGGUGAAAAUAUGCAGUUGCAAGCCGCAUGUGGCCACUGCAUUCUUUAGGCCUUUGUUAUCCUUGAAAUCAUCACAGCUAUCAAUCAAAUUUAUUUCUCCUCUGAAUUAGUAAAAAAAUAUUUUUAAACAUGGCAUAUCUGAAAAAUUUAAGACUUUCAUUCAGUUUGUUUUAUAGUCCUUACUGAUUACAGAAGUUUCCUCUAUCUUGAAUGGAUAGCAGCAUUGACUGUUGUAAUAAAUUCUCUGCUCUGCAGACUUGUGCAGCACAAGCCUGUGCCAAAAGUUAUGCACCAGAUGGCAACUGAAAAUGACUGGAUAACUAUGGUAAGAGUGUAUUUAGAGAAAAUACACAGUUACAAGUAGUAUACACACUUUCAAUGUUUAUAAAAACAUAUCAAAUAAGUCAAUCUGUAUAUAUUGAUUGAGUGCCUGUUCUAUGUAGAAGUUUGCAAGAACUGCUGCUUUUGUGUCAAGUUAUCUGGACAUAGAGCUUAGAAAUAUUACUAAUAUGUCAUCUCUUACAAGAAUAUUGGAGAAAUAAUGACUUCCUAAGAUAUCAAGGUUCAUCCACUGUUGAUUUUCUGUGUUAGGAACUUGGAACUGGGAUUGAGAACAUUUUAGUCAUCAAGAAAAAUGUUUCUUGUGGGUUUCUUAGCUAGGAAUUGUUAAAUUAAAAAUUUCAAAACUUCUCAAAGCACUUAAAAAGAGUAAAAAGACCUUUGCAAUGGGAUUGUGCAGUGGAGAGAGACUGUGCUCAACUCCAAAUACAUCCUGGAUGAGUGAGAAUUUAUAGUUAAAGAUAGGGUGGGGGAUAGUGAAUGGAAAUUUACUAAGAGGAAACAUCAGAAGUGUUAUGGUUUGGAUAUGUGGUGUUCCCCAAAGGUUCGUGGAUUAUCCAGUGUUUCUAUCUGAAAUUAUUAUAUUUUGAGAUUAUAAUCUAAUCAGUGAAUUAACCCAUUUGAUGGAUUAAUAAUUUGAAUGGAAUACAGGAUAGGAACUGUAGGCAGGUAGGGAGUGGCUGGUGGAAGUAGAUCACUGGAGACAUACUCGUAGGGAUUAUACUUUGUCCCUGGUGCCUCCAUUUCUUUUUCUUUUUUUCAGCUGCCAUGAGUUGACAGCUUUCCUCUGCCACUUCCUUCUGCCACAGUUUUCUUUCUUUUAUUUGUUUUAAUUAGUUACACAUGACAGUACAAUGACCUUGACAUAUCAUACAUUUGAAUCAGAUGGGAUAUAAUUUCUCAUUUUUCUGAGUGUACAGGUUGCAGAAUCAUAUUGGUCAUGCAGUCACAUAUAUACACACAAUAAUAAUAAUGUCUAUUUCAUUCUACUGUCCUUCCUUUCCCCCCAUCCCCACCCUUCCCCUCCCAUCACUUCUCUCUACCUAAUCUAAGGUGACACUAUUCUUUUUUUUUCCUCACAUCUUCAUACAUGUAUUAUUUUGUAUAACGAAGAGGGUCUCCUUCCACGUUCCAUGCAAUUCCCCUUCUCCCUCCCUUUCCCUCCUACCUCUCUUUCCUAUCUAGAGGUAAUCUUCUUCCCAUGCUCUUCCUCCCUGCCCCAUUCUGAGUCACCCCCCUUAUAUCAGAGAAGACAUUUGGCUUUUGUUUUGGGGGAUUGGCUAACUUCAUUUAGCAUAAUCUGCUCUAAUGCUAUCCAUUUCCCUGCAAAUGCCAUGAUCUUGUUAUUUUUAAAGGCUGAGUAAUAUUCCAUUACAGAGCAAUAGUAACAAAAACAGCAUGGUACUGGCACCAAAACAGGCUGGUAGACCAAUGGUACAGAAUAGAGGACACAGAGACUAACCCACAAAAUUACAACUACCUUAUAUUAGACAAAGGUGCUAAAAGCAUGCAAUGGAGAAAGGAUAGCAUCUUCAACAAAUGGUGCUGGGAAAACUGGAAAUCCAUAUGCAACAAAAUGAAAUUGAAUCCCUAUCUGUCACCAUGCACAAAAGUUAACUCAAAAUUGAUCAAGGAUCUAGGAAUCAAACCAGAGACUCUACAUCUAAUAGAAGAAAAAGUUGGCCCUAAUUUCCAUCACGUGGGGUUAGGCCCCAAUUUCCUUAAUAAGACACCUCUAGCACAAGAAUUAAAACCAAGAAUCAACAAAUGGGAUGAUUUCAUACUAAAAAGUGUUUUUCUCAGCAAGAGAAAUAAUAUGUGAGGUGAAUAGGGAGCUACAUCCUGGGAACAAAUUUUUACCCCUCACACAUCAGAUAGAGCUCUAAUCUCUAGGGUAUACAAAGAACUCAAAAAGCUAAAGACCAAAAUAAUAAUAAUAAUAAUAAUCCAAUCAACAAAUGGGCCAAAGACCUGAACUGACACAUCUCAGAAGAGGAUAUACAAUCAAUCAACAAAUACACGAAGAAAUGCUCAUCAUCUCUAGCAAUCAGAGAAAUGCAAAUUAAAACUACUCUAAGAUACCAUCUCACUCCAGUAAGAAUGGCAGCCAUUAUGAAGUCAAACAACAAGUGCUGGCGAGGAUACAGGAAAAAGGUACUUAUACAUUGCUGGUGGGACUGCAAAUUGGUGCAGCCAAAUUGGAGAGCAGUAUGGAGAUUCCUUGGAAAGCUGGGAAUGGAACCAUUAUUUGACCCAGCUAUUCCUCUUCUCAGUCUAUACCCAAAGGACCUAAAAACAGCAUGCUACAGGGACACAGCCACAUCAAUGUUUAUAGCAGUACAAUUCAUAAUAGCUAAACUGUGGAGCCAACCUAGAUGCCCUUCUACCACAGUUUUCUGCUUUACCUUAGGUUCAGAGCAAUGGAGUCAGCUGAUCAUGGACCGAGACCUCUGAAACCUUGAACCAAAAUAAACUUUUCUUCCUCUAAGUCAUUCUUGUUAGGUGUUUUGGUCAUAGUGAUGACAAGCUGACUAACACAAGGGGAAAGGGAGAUUCUUGAUGAACCAACCUAAUGGUAUUCUUGUUAAAGGAAGAGGAGGAGGAGCCCCAAUCAGAUAGUGAGAGUGAUUAGAUGUUGAGGGUGGGAGGUUCAGGUUUGACUAUCAGAGUAGAUUCUUAGUAAAAUUGGGUUUUACAAGGAAGUGCUCAGUAGGAUAAGCUUAGAAGAAAGUUUUCCUAAACUUUCCUAAACCCGACUAAAGUUUGGUAAAGUAGAGAAUCUUUGUCAGCAUGUGCCAUGACCUUAAGAGACAUGUAGGAGACAGGAUCCACUAGAAUGACCCAACUCAUGGGCAGGAUCUGAUCAGGUGAUAGAAAUAGAUUUGGUCUGUAAACAACACAGCAGAGCCCUAGAGACAUUAAGCAUCUAAGAAAGCCUCCAUCACAGUAUAGAAGUGACUGUGAAUUCUGGUCAUAAAUGUCAGUGUCCUGAUAAUUCUGAUUCCUUAGUCAUUGCACAGCUGUUCCUGGAGAGUAAGUGAGACACAUAAAUUAGUGACUAUAGUGAUUAUGCUACUCACAUCUGCUCUGAAUCAUCUUCUCUAUCCUUUCCAAACAGCUGUAGCCAAAGAUGAAACUUCCUUUCCCACAGCUCAGACCAUAGGACCAUAAAUUGUAACCCACCCCAUCUUCCACCUCUAAGUAUCAAAAUGAAGAUUCUUCAAUCAUCCAAGUUUUCAUAUCAUUUUACUGGAGAAAAACUAAGCAGUGGCCCCACUGAAAGGAAGAAUGAUGUGAAUUUUCCAUGUUGACAUAGUAGUUUUUUGUUUGUUUGUUUGUUUGUUUGCCACAAAAAAAUGUUAUCUUUGUGUAUUUAAAGGACAGCCACAUGUAGACAGCUUUCUAAUCCUUUAUUUUGAAAUGAGAGUCAAGCAGUAAGUCUAAAGUAGAAAAGCAAUUUGGUUGAAUUAAUUCAUACUUAUGUGUAAAUUACUGAAAGACCUUAAAUAUUCUUGGAAAGUUGUAUUUUAAAGUGAUUCUCGGUAUACUAAAAUAUAGUUCAGUGAAAGAACACUUGCCUAGCAUGCUCAGGAUCCUGUGUUUGGUCAUAAGCACUGCAAAAAUGAAAUGAAAUAAAAUAGAUUAUCUCUUGAUCCAAACAAAUCUAUGGGGAAUAGUAAUCCUGGCAUGUAACAUGGUAAAAUAAACAAGUCUAUUAAUGCCCCAGAAACUGUUUUAAAGGCAGGGGCAGAACACAGACUGUUAUGGUUUAGAUAUGAAGUAUUUCACAAAUACUUAUCAUGUGAAAGGCCUGGUUUCCAAUGCAACAAUGUUUAGAAGUGGGGAUUUUGGGAAGUGAUUGGAUCAUGAGGACUCUGGCCUUCUUAGCUGAAUGAACUAUUGGGAGAUUGUAGGACGUGGGAUCUAGUUGGGAUCAUGUUAGGAGCAUGGCCUUGAGAACUUUAUCUUGUGCCCAAUUCCUCUGUUGUCCACUUCCCUUCUGCUUUGCAGAAGCCAUGAGGUGAGCAUCAUUCCUCCACUAUACCCUUUUACAAUGAUUUGUAAAAUCAUUGUAAAAGGGUAUAUUUGGCUUUGCUUUAAGCCAAAAGAGAUGGAACUGACCACCUUAGAUGGAAACCUCUGAAAUUGUGAAGCAAAAUAAAUCUCUCCUCCUUUAAGUUGUUUUUCUCAGAUAUUUUGUCACAAUUAAAAGCUGACUAACAUGACUCAUUCCCAUCUGAGUCUGUGCUCUGCUAAGUUGUACCUGUUUACUCACAGCCUGUUCAUGCCCCCUCCACUUCUAAUUCCACUAUUCUCUUGAAGUUUCAAGUCUUUUUUUCUUUUUUUUGUAGUAAGUUUCAGAAUCAGAACUUAAGGAUGGAAAAAAAAAAAAAAAAGCCUACCAGGGAGGAAUGGUAGUUAGCAGGUACAGAGAUAGAGCCAUGGUCACUGUGAGUACUGUUUGUAAACAUCAUGUUCUGGUCAUUGUGAGUCCUGUUUGUAAACAUCGUGUUCUGGUCAUUGUGAGUCCUGUUUGUAAACAUCAAGGGCAGACAAUGGUUUGUUAUAACUAUAUCUGUGUAUGGAUUAAUUUUAUUUCUCUGUAAAAAUAUCAGAAAUAGAAAAAUAAUGGCAAACUAUUAUUGAGAGUAUAAGUGUAGCUGUUGAUGUCAAGUACUUGGAAAAUAUCCAGCCCUAUUGCUCCCUUGGGCUAGACUGAUACUGUCUAUGAACUUCCUUCAAGAAAAACAACCAGUUUCACCAUCCAUUUUUAUUAACUCCAUAUUCUCAGAGGAACCUUUACGUACUCCCUUGAAUAUCAGGACUAAAUUUAUUUCGCUACAUGUAGAGGCAUCUUACUGGAUAUAAUUAUCCACAAAGCCAAUUGUGCCUUCCAAGACAAGUAGGAAUAUAUAUGAUUGUUCUUCCUCCAUUCUGCCUACUUUCUUUUAAGUCUCCAAACAUUAUUUCAAGAAUAAGGAAAGCAAUAUUUUUGUUCCUUAUGGAAAAAAUUCAGGAUCAGUAUGCUUGCUAUGAGUGGCAUCAAAUACUUAUAUGGGCUAAGAAAGUCUUCUUUGGUUAAUAUAGAGAUAGGUCAUCAAAAGGAAUUGGAUUUUAGCUACUUUAAUGGUGAUAUUAAUGCCUACUAGAAAAGAAAAUAGGCUAAGAGAUUCAGGCUCUGAUGAAAACCUGAGAUUCCAAGUUAACAGCUGUAGGUAAGCACUGCCCAUAGAAGUCAUCCACAUAUUUAAUUUUAAGUUUUAUAGCAGCCACUUAAAAAAAAGGAAAAAUAACAGGUGAAAUUUUAUUUUCACAUUGCUGUUAACAUAAUGUUAAUAGCAUAUUUUAUUGAAACCAACAUAUACAGAGUGUUAUCAUUUCAACACAUAAUACAUACAACAAUUAUUAACAAGACAGUAUUUUUAAAUUAUAAGUCUUCAAAAUAGAGUAUGUAUUUUACAAAUAGAAUAUCUAGACUUAGAGUAGCCAUAUUUUAAGGCUAGUCUGGGGGACAGAGCAGCUCCAGGGGAUAACACAAGAAGAAAGAACUUCAUGAUGACAAAAACCAUUUAUUUAUUCUAAUAGAACCUAAAUCAGAGAGAGCAUUAAGAAACUAAUGAUGGAAAAUUAAGAGAAUUGCAUAACUUUGGACAGAGAUUUCCAAGAAAUAGACUGGUUAAAGAUGAUUUAUGUGAAUAGGUAGUAUUUACUGAGUAUGAUUCAGAUGGAGAUAAGGUGAUCAAUUUUUACUUUAAUUAAGGGAUAAACUUGGAAUUCAUUCAAAAAAUGAUCUUGAUUUUCUUAAAGUAAGUAAGAAAAACAGUUCUGCUCCUGGAACAGGGUAGAAGUAAAAGUAAAAACCAAAGAAUAUGUGUCUAAAAUCCCCCUCAACAUAUAACUCUAUAGAGUAAAGCAGACUCCUGAAGCUAAUACACAUAAUUUACUUCCCUAGAUUUAGGGGAUUACCAAAAUAUAUAUAUAUUAUUCAGGAGAGAUAGAUAGAUAGAUAGAUAGAGGCUUUGUUGACUGAAACUCAUAAACAUUCAUGGGUUAUUAUUAUUGGCUAAAGAAAGGGCUAUUUUGUGGAGAUGAAGUAUCAAGGAAAAACAAUCAUCAGAGAGCACCAUUAAUUGUCAGAGAUGUGCUAUUCUUGAUGAACAACAGAGAAUCAGUGGAGGUGAAGAAGGGCUGUCUUUCUGUUGAGAGCAAUUAGACAUUUGUUUUAUCAAAACAUUUAUUGCCUACUUUUUAGAGCCUUCAUACCAUUACUCUAUUAUGUAUUUAAUGUGAGGGCAUAUGAUGCUCAAUAAUUAGUUUUUUCCUCCUCAAUGUGGGCUUUCAGUGGCUUCAUAAAAAUGAUAAAUGGCUCUUCUUGGACAUACAGGAUAGAGAUUGGCAGGCAAUUCAAAGUUAAGAUUUCCCAGUAGAACCAUCAUUACCAAGGCGAUCACAUACUACUUUGCCUCUAUUCUGAAAAAUGUCAAAAAUUAGGCCAAGAUUUUUAUGAUCACCACUUCAUACUGCCUAAAAGGCUUUUCUACCCUCCCUUCUAAUUUUUUUUUUUUUUGGUUGUGCAUGUGCCUGCAAUUUCUGUAUUUUCUCAGUUGCAUCCACUUUGAAUAUGCUUGUUUAUGGAUGCUCCUAAAAGCAAUCAUUUCAAAGAACUCUAGGUUUUGCUGAGACCAUUGUAUACAUGGGAAAAAUUAUUUUAUUGGAAAAUGACUUAGGAAGACACAAAAACAUGUUAUGAUACAAGAUAAGUGAAUUAUUUGACAGCAUAUCCUGUAAAGCAAGGCACUUGGAACCUUUAAUAAAGAGCAUGUUCUGAAAUAUCCCAUAUAACACUUUAUUAGAGAAUUUUCUCACACCUGAUCUUGUUUGAAUUGUACAAUGACCUCAUCAGGGCAUUUGAAAGAUUCUGUUGCUUUUUUUUUUCUUUCUUUUGUGCAUGCAAAGCAAGCACUCUACCAACUGAGCUAUAUCCCCAGCCCCAGAUUCUACUGUUUUGAAGCCAGAAUAUUUAAAUGACUUGACCAAAGGCACAGAGCUGAUAUUUGACAAAAACAGUAUCCUAAUGCUCUUAGUUCUGUAUCAUAUCAUUCUCUCCCUUUAUCUUUGAAAGUAGUGCUUUCCAGACCACAAAUCCUGGAUGCAAUGACUAUAACUACUUGCUGUCUUGAUGGCUCUGCUCCCAUUUCUUAUAACUUCAGCUCCUACAAUUUCUGCCCACCAUUCUAGGAGUCUCAGGGUCUUUGUUCCCAUGGAAUCUUGUGGGAGUGGGGUAUUAUUUUUUAAAGUUGGGUUUAUUUUUAAAAAUCAUUUUAUUAUCCAGUUGGGAAUCUACGGUGUCAUCUAUUACUGCCCAAGUCAUAAACAGCUGAAUCCCUCCAAAGAUACUAAGUCUGCUGCAGUGUUAUGCUCUCUCACUAGUCUGGCCCAGCUCCAGGCUGUUGCAGUGUGCUGCUCAGACUCCAAAUGCAAAGGUAACCUCUGAGCAGAGGAAGUGCCCUUUGCUCCACCCCCUCCCCCCACUACCUUCUUUACUUCCAAAGCUGUUAAACACUGCCCUCAACAGAGUCUUUAAGGAAACUGCUCUUUUCACUUUAAUUGCUUGUUUUUAUAGUCUUCUCUCUCUGAGUAGUCCACAGAGACUGAAUUUAAGAAACCAGGUAAUAAGUUCCAUACUUUUCCCUUCAAUUGCUGCAUUCCUCCUCCAAUGACCUAUUGAGCUUUAACACAGCAGACCUUCCUUUGAAUAGUUAUUUCCCAGAAUAUUCUUAGAUCUUUCCAAACAAUAGAUUCGGCUGGGCCUAUCAUGCCCAUCCUUCCACAGCCAGACAUGUCCAUGGUUUAGAUGAUAAAAUCCAGACUGACACAGUUUUCCCCCAGACACUGACCCCACUUUCUCAGUUACCUUUUGUGAACAUCUAUUGAAUCAAAGCCAGAUUUUUCUGCCUAUCGAAUGCCCUUUCCCAAUUGUUUGUUUAAUCUUACUAUCUUUCAUGCCCCUGUCUCCAUAGGAUGUCAGAGAAAACUUGUGUGUAAUGAGUGUUUCCCAUAAAUAUCAAUGAUAUAAACAAGUAAAUGAUAAAUUAUGGGUGAACUAUUAUAGACUGACUUUUCUUAGAUAUAUUUCUAGGUAUUUUUUAUUAAUGAUUAAAAUAUUUUUCUCUCAAAAUACAAAGCUGUUAUGCAUUAGUGGUGUCUUUCUCAUCAUCAAUAUUCUCUUCCUUAUCAAGUUAACAUGAAUAAAGAUGUUGGCAGUGGAUUAGUAUGGUUUUUAUUAUUAAUGAGGGAAACACAUUAAUUAGUACAACACUGGGUUAAGUUAUUGAACAAACCAGCCCUUAAAUGAAAUAAAACCCACUCAGAAGCUCAAAAUCUGAGGAAGGUUAUAGUAACUUAGAUCUCUUCUAUAAAAGGAUAUGCAGAUACUCAUAAAUACAUAAUGCAGCAUGAAAAAAAAUUAUACUUUGUGAACAUUAGUACAAGUGGUUUUAUGUAGUACAGAGUUCAAGAAUAAGUCAUGAGAAUUUUAUCUUCAGAGAGGAUAUAGCCAAGUUUAAAAAAAUGGAACUCACUUCCUUUUGGAGAGACUUCAAGAAGGAAAUGAGAUUUCCAACACUCUUUUGCCUAAAGAAAGAAUAAACUAAAGUUGUAAAGGUCAAUGAAUGAAUCACAUACCUCAAUCCUCUAGAUUUGAAAUCUAUUGAUAAAUAAAGUAUCAAAAAGAGAAAAAAUAAAUACUUUUAUUACUAAUAAAACCAAUUUGGAGACCAUCCCUUGAACCCAAAAUUGCCUUUUUAUUUUCCCCUUUUAUCCUAAAUAGAACUUUCUUGUCGCAAGUGCAUCAGCUGCACAUAUUCAAGCCUUUUUUGAAAUAAUAAGAGCUGGUGAAGGGUUACCAUGUAAUUUUCAAAGAAGAAAUAAGAAAGUGAGCAUCAUAUGUCUAGCUUCCUCCCUCCAAUUGGAAAAGACAGUAAUAGGCAAACUUUCUGAAAAGGGCCAAGGUAGUGAAUAAUUUAGGCUUUGAGACCAUGUGUUCUUUGUUUCAGCUACUCAAUUUUUAGCUUGUAGCAUGAGAGCAGAUGUAAACAAUAUAUAAACAAAAUGAGUACAGAUGUUGCAUUAUUUUUCUAGGGCUGCCUUAACAAAGUACUAGAGACUGGGUGGCUCAAACAAUAGAAAUUUAUUGCCUCAUAGUUCUGGAGGAUAGAAGUCUAAGAUCAAGGUGUGGGCAGGGUUGGUUUCUUCUGAGAAUUGCAAGGGAAAUCUGUUCCUGGCCUCUCUCCUAGCUUCUGGUGGUUUGCUGGCAAUCUUAGGAAUUCUUUGGCUUGUAGAAACAAAAUCCUGGUCUCAGUCUUCAUAUUCACAUGACAUUCUUCUUGUAUGUGUAUCUCUAUUGUCCUUUUGAUAAUAACAACUGUCAUAUUGGAUUAGGAAUUCACUUUAGCCCAGUAUAACCAGUAUUAACCAAUUAUAUAUAAAAUUAUCUUUUUUCGGAUUAAGUACACAAUUUUAAGUACUGGGGGUUAGGACUUAAAUAUAUGAAUUUGAGGGAGACACAAUUCAACUCAUAAGAACUGUAUUCCAAUAAAACAUUAUAUAUACACAUGAAAUGUUGAAUUCCAUAAAAAUAGCAUUCAACUGUUAUGAGAAAUUCUUUUUUAUUUUCCCCAUAAUGUAUGCAAACUAUACAGAAACAAACCUGGUCUGAAGUUUACCAACUUCUGAGUUAAAUCACUUUUCCUCCAUAGGGAGGAUAAGUUAGGCAGGGAAGAAAACAAAAGUGUUUCUCCAAUUGUCACACCCCUGGGGAGUGGAAAUAUGAGGAGUGAGGUGACAAAUGUCCCAUAUCACAGAGUCCAAAGACUGAGGCCAACUUGAAGUCAGAAUGGGAGGCAUUGUCCAGGACUUCUCAUUGUGGAUGAGAUGGUCCAAGGUCAGAGAUGACAAUGGAAUAAGAAAAACAAAAUAAGAGAUAAACAAGGAAGCUUAGAAAGUGUAACUUACAAUCUUCAUUUUAGGCCAUUUAAAAACCACAGUAUACCUGAGAAGAAAUUGAUCAGCCUGGUCAAAUUAAUUCAGAAAGAGUAGGAACAGAAGUAAAUCUAUAAGUAGGAAGCUUAGAGGAGAGGGUAAUGCAAAAAUCCAGGCUGAAGUUACAAGAACGUGGACUGAAGCUUUCUCUGACACUUCUCUUAGUUCUCUCAUUUCUAAAAAUCUUUAGUUGUGAGUUGUUAAAAUAUUAAUAAAGACUUUGAUUUUCAUAGUAAGAUUUUGCUCACACAUAGGGUCUUUAGUGCAGGUAGAUUUACAUACCAUUUAGUCAGCCUUAGGCUCUUAAUUUCCUAUAAUUGUUUUCAUUCUUUAGAUUCCAUUGGUUUGCUGUGUAAUUUUUACUGCAAGCCUUUAUGAAUCAAAUGAUUAUUGUGAAGGGUGGUCUUGAGGGACAUGCCACCCUCACCAUCCUUUCUUCUAGAACAUGCUUUCCAAAAUCUGCUCAUAUAUCAAACUAUAUGACUAAAAACAGCCCAUGUGUACUUCAUUAUUUCAAACUUUCCCUCUGAAUUGCCUUCACAGAUUUUCAAUUUAAUAAGGGCUUCUGUUUUUUUAAUUAAAGGGCAGUUUUUGUAAUAAAAGGCAUAGAACAUUUCUGCUUCUUUUGUGAUGCUUCUACUGAGGAUUUUUGAUUCUAUUAUUUGAUGCUAGUACAUGAAAAGCUAUGUAAUAAGUUAUUGUUAGACUUUAGUGCAAGGAACAAGAGAGUCUCUUAUGAUAAGUAUUUCCUUUAAGAUAACCAUAUUCACAGAACUCUUCAAUAUCCAUUUUAUUUUGACAUUUAGAAGGUCAGAGAUAAAUUUUGUCCUUGACUUUAGGUGAGGGACUCAACCCAGGUUUUCAGUUUAUCUUUUCUCCUCUCUCACUUUAUUAUUUGGAUCCUUUCUCUUAUUUUUAACUUGCUUUUAUGAUUUUAUUAGAAUCUCUUUUAUUACAAGGAGACACAAAACAUUUUUGAGCAUUAGUAGGCUAUAAAUCAGCAUUAAUAAAUGAUUGGCUCUUAUCAUUUUGUCCAGGGGGAUUAUCCUCUAAUAUAGAACUUUAUGACUUUAGUUAUCUAUUAAUGCCAUCUCAGGUUACAGUGAGUUUUUUUUUUUUUUAACCACACAUAUUCCUUAAUCAAUGAUUCCUGUCUUGAAAUGCUAUAUUUGUUAAAGAGACAAACACAUAUUGGACUGCAGAAAUACACACCUUUAAAAAAAAAUGUUUUUAGGAGGCAGUUUAAUUAUCUCUUUGAAAACAUUAAAAUUAAACUAAAAAUACUUUAGUUAUGUUCCUUAGAAUUCAUUUGCUUGGAAGUGACAGAAGCCCAGCUCAGUAUCAUUUAGGAAUAAAAAGGUAUAUAUUGAUUUGAAAUUUUUGGAAAGCUUUACCUAUAACUGGAUCCCAGGAGCUCAAAAUAAGGCACUUUUGCUCAUAACCCUGCUUUACUGAAUUAUUUAUUGGCUUCAUUGUGGGGCAGGAUCUCUCCACAAUAUACAAAAGUGACUAGCAGUAGUUCUGGGUUUCUAGUGCACCAGUUCUAGCAUUUGAGGUGGGUGGGACGAGGGCAGGGGCAGUCUGUUUGAUGUCCAUUUGUCAACAAAUCUAAGUAAAGUUUUGAGGAAAACUUUUAUGGCCUGGCUUUGGUUAUGUGACCUUCUUUUAACUUAACUGAGACUAAAGAAUUCCAGUGAGUACUUAAUUAGCCAGGGCCCCAUGAUAUGCUCAUUCCUAGAGACAGGAGAUGUGAUUAUCCCCACCCAAAUUACUUGGACUCAGGAGAGUUCCCAAAGAAAUUUGGGGAUGAAGAAAACACAGGUUAACUACAUCUUUCAUUAUGUUUUCAUCACUUGGCUGCCCAGAAUCUACAUAUACCUUCUUACCAACUUAUAAAAUUCUCAAAAUUGCCCUUGCUAAUAUAAUGUAAAUAUACUUCUACAGGGAAAACCGCUGAACCUCUACCCUUAAGGGAGAUAGGACUCAUCCAGUUACUGCUUUCCACUUUAAUUGCAGACUCUCUAAGUUAAAGCAUUUUUCUUGGUUAGGUCUAAAUGUAACUUCUUAUGCCUUGACCAAAGGGUACAUUUAACACUGCCAACUCAUGGUGGUAAAGAGAAAACACUUGCUGCAGUAAAACUUCCAUUUGAGAAAGGAGAAGAGGGCUUCCACUAAAUAGUGAUCUCAAAUUUAUAACAAUUGUCUUGUGCUGCUGGACAAAGAAAAGCAAGAACUCUCUGACUUGGCAGUGGAGGGAGUUGUUUGUUCAAGAAUCUAGCUUGCCGUUCCCUGUUCUAGGAGGAACUCCCUUUUCCAUUGUCCUACAUGGUGACAAACAAAUGGACCUUGGAGAGAUUUUCAUUCAGACAGCUGUAACAUUUCAGUUCCUAUUUCCUGUAGAUGUGGAUUUGGAGGCUGGAAUUUGUCUUAUGCGUUGGGCAUUUUCAGGUAUGUUUGCUAAGCCUUGGCAUUUCUCUGACAAUGCCAUUGCUUUUACUGAUGGACCUGGUUGCUAUUUGUUUUACUGUUGAUUUCUUGGAUUCUCCCCAAAAUGGUACCCAGAGCUCUUAGACAGUCACCAUCAGUGAUUAGUCACCAUCAGUCUAGUUUUAGUUCUCACUGAUUCUUCCUUAGCAAUCAGACCUUUAAGCUCUGCCUCACCCCCCAGCCAUAUGGACCUGGAACUGGGAAACUGGGCUGUAGUCAUGGAGAUCCUAACCAUUUGUGGUGGUGAAAAUUCCUGGGGAUGCAUUUUGUAGAAGAGUUCUAAUCAUUCUCUUUGUUAGAAAAUGUGCAUACAGCAACAAGUAUUUGCAAGGGAUCCUUUGGUUCUCUGGUCUACCUGUAUCCCAAUCUCUCUUCUCAUUCUGCUUUCCACUUGUACUAACUUCAGCAAAGGAGACUGACACAUGUAUGAUGUCAAAGGCUUGUGGUUAUUUGCUCUUGACUAUUUUGGAGUACCAGAUGAAGGCAAAAAGGAUGACUGAGCAAGGACUUAAUCUUAUUUCCUCUCUGCUUCCAGAACUACCAGAUUAGUUUGAGGAGUAUCCUUUUCUUGUAUAAUCUGGUUGAAGAUUGAAAGUAGCUAACACCCUCCAAGAUUCUGACAUUCUUUUCCUUAUUCCCUAAAACCCUAUACUUGAUACUUACAUGAUUUGAGUUCUAAGACACAUUAAGCAUCUUCCAAUGGGCGUAUUUGCUGUCAAGCAAUAGGUUUUGCCUUUUUUCCUAGCCUUGAAUGGAAAAUUCUCCACCUCACUUCAGCUCAGCCAAUAUCACAUUUUAAGGUCUGUUGUUUAUGAUACUCCACUUUUGGGCAUCAAAUAUUUUAUUAGUUAAAGUUUACUUUGGUACACAUUAUAGAAAUGUGUACCAAUGGCUUAAAUAGAAGGAACUUAAGGAAUUUGGCUUCCACAGUUAAGUCAGAAAUAUAGUUGUCUUCAAGCAUGUUAAUUAUAAAAGUUCAGUGUUGAGACCAGGACACAGGAUAGGUAGCUAUUUAUCAAGCAAAAGGAAAUGGAUACAUAACACUUCCCAUCACCCUGUUGCUAACAGCCUCCAGGAGAGGGGAAAGAUUGCACUUUCCAAUAUAAGCAAUCACCCCCUGUGUCUCUCUUCCUUGGUUACUUUUGGUCAUGUAGGCUGCCGCAGUGUGGCUGGGCAAAAUAACCGGGGGUGGGGGGUGGGGUGACAAGCAACUUGUGAAGGUUGAAACAGCGGGAGCCCUUUAUUGUAGGACAGCAGAGGUAUUUAUACCUAACUCAUUAUACACAGCUUGUUUCUAUUAACAUCAUCUAGAUACAUCAAUUAGUCAUUAAGGAAUCCUCAUCAUCUUAAUAAUUACACACAGCUUAACUUAAUUAUCAUCUAGAUACAGCAGUCAGUCAUUAAGGAAUCUCCAUCAUCUUAAUGGCUCGCUGGCGUUACUUCUCAAACCACUCCUCCUGGCAAAGUGCCAGGCGCCAUCUUGACUUGUCUGUGGCCCUCAACAGUAGGCAUGAAAAGAAACCUAAGAUCUAUAAAGGGGCAGGACGCCCCUGCUCACUAGGGCACCAGCUUUGGGGCCCCCUCCUCUCUGAAAGAAAAUCAAUCUCAAUCUCUCUCUCAUGCUUUAUCUCAAGCACUUUCCUAUGCAAUAAAAGUGCUUUAUGCUUACUUCCUGUUUUCACACAGAGUAUUUAAAAUAGGUACACUCAUUGAAAUUUAAAUAACUUUUUUACUCCUUCAUCAUCAAAGACAUUCUUAAAUGAGGUUUGCACUUUGUCUUUUCCCUGCAAGUGCAUGGCAGUGAAGGAUAUAGCUAUAGGUACAGUUUAGCCCCACUUCCUUGACUUAUGCUAAGACACCAGCAGCUUUUUUGUGUCAUUAAUAUAAAUAUCAACAUAGUGAACAAAGGCAAAUAACAUCUCAGUAUUUUAAAGAAAAUAAUUUUGACCACACAAUCCCUCUGAAAGAUUCUCAGAGACCCACAAAAAUCUGAAGAUCACACUUUGAGAACCACAGCCUUAUUUCCUAAGAAUGGAAAUAAAGAUAUUUUAUUAGGAUUCACAAUAAAAAGACCCAGGAGUAUGAGUUGCUACUUUGGCUUGUCCACUGAUUUUUUUUUCUCAAAUUUAUUAUUUGUUCUUUUUAGCUAUACAUGACAUUAGAAUGUUUUUUGACAUAUACUUACAUGGAAUAUAGCUUCCAUUCUUGUGGUUGUACAUGAUGUGUAGUUACACUGGUCAUGUAUUCAUAUAUGAACAUGGGAAAGUUAUGUCCUUUUCAUUAUACUGUCUUUCUUGUUCACUGAUUUUUAAUCUGUCAUUUUUGUCAUUGUAAUACUUCAUCUCAAGCAACUUUGAAAUGCUCGUUCUAAAUUUUCCUUGAGAAAUGAAGAAAGAAAGUCAAUUUAAUGGAAAUAGUUAAGGCAUAAAAUAUUGAUUCUUAGAAAAUCUGUGUGUUUGAUAAAUUCUAAAAUUGUCUUAUUUAUUUAUUUAUUUAUUUAUUUAUUUUUGGUAUUAGAGAUAGAACUCAGGGACACUCAGUCACUGAGCCACAUCCUCAGCACUAUUUUUUGUAUUUUAUUUAGAGGCAGGUUCUCAUGAGCUGCUAAGCACCUUGCUGUUGCUGAGACUGGCUUUGACCUCACAAUUCUCCUGUCUCAGCCUCUGGAGCUGCUGGGAUUACAGGUGUGUGCCACUGUACCCAGCUAAAAUGUUUUAUUGUUUAAGAAAUUUAAUUUUGAGGAAUAAUAUUAAUAUUUUGAUAUUUAGUUUUUAUGCUAUAGUAUAUAAAAUUUUAAUUUCUAUGAAAUGACUCUUUAUAAAUAUUUGUAACUUAAUUUUCAUACUUAUAAAAUAUUUAUUGAAUCAUAUACUGAUUAGUUUUUAGAAAUAGAGAAAUCUAAAGUUGGAUUUCGACCAUACCAUUUGCCAGCCAAUUGAGCAUGGAUUUUUAAUGUCCUUGAGCCUCAGUUUCCUCAUUUAUAGAAAACCGGGGCUAUUUUAUAUGAAUAGUAUAAUGGCAUAAUAAGUGUGAAACAGUGUUUUGCUGGCCACAUAGAAGGCACUCAAUAAAUGCUCACUUUCUUUCUUCCAUUCAUUUACUGUCCCUGUUCAUACUUAACAAGAGUGACAAGCACUGGACUGCAGUCUCACAUAGUAGAGGGAGUGUUGAUCUUUCUCCAUUUACUUCUAACUGAACACCCAAGCUGCUGUGAACCAUGCUUGGGGAGCAGACUUGUUUUGAAGCAGAUUAAGAUUCAGAUUAUAAUUGGGGACUUUUCUGUAGGAGUAGGAUCUUUCUAGAGAUACCUCAAAUAGAACAACUUUUGUUGCUAUCUUUUUGAUGUAAUUUUUUUCUGAUGAAAAGAUAUGAAAAAUGUGGAAGGGAAUUAAGAGUAAAAACAAGAAAGAAGAGUGAUAUGGUGGGGAGUUUUGUCAUUGUUGUUUUUCAGGUUUCAGGUUUUAUUUUUUUAAUACCAUAAGCUUUUUUUUCUAAUAGCUAAUACUGUUUUUCCUCAAAGAACAGCAUCAUAUAAUUAUAACAUGAAAACUGAAGCAUUAUUUGAACAUCCUAAAAAUCGUAUUAUCUUUACUAUUAUAAAUUUAAAAAUAAGAGAGCACCAAUGCCCCUAUAUCAUGAAGAGUUAGAAACUAGAAUUAUAGAAUUUUAUUUCUCACUGCUUAAACUCAUGAGUAAUGUUGCCGUCACAAGAGCAUUCCUACAGUAGUAGGUUCUACCUUAAUAAUACUUGGCAGCUCUCGACUCCUUUUACUGCUGAAUAUAUAAACAAAAUGUUAGAAGAAGUCAUCACAGUCUGAGGCAAAAAGAAUUGUUAAGCACUCGAUCAAUUUUUUUUUUUAAAUAACAAGCCAAAGAGCACCCAGAAUGACUUAUUUAGCAGCCAGAAAGUGUUUUUUAUUGAACAACUGUAAAAUAUACUGGGAGGUGCUGGUAUAGCUGUUAAGGGUAAUAGUUAAAAUAGUUAAAAAGGCACAUAGCUAAAUGGAAUAAGAUGGACAUCAUAUACAAACACAUACACAUAUACAUAUACAAACAGAGAACUUGUGGGAAAUAUAUGUAUGUGUGUCUGUGUGUAUGAAUACACAUGUAUAUACACAUAUAUAUACACAUAUAUAUACAUACAUACACAAAUAUAUACAUAUGUGUUUGUAAAAUAUAUAUAUUUAUAUGUAUAUAUAUGUAAUACACAGAGAUGGGGGGGAGAGAGAGAGAGAACUAUAGGAAAUUGCCAAUCUAAUUUCCCUUUCUUUGGGAGUUUUCUAAACUUUAACUUUAUUCAGCUCUGGUUUAAAAUGCAUAAAUAAAUUUAAAAGUUAAAUAGUAUAAAUUAAAAUAGACUGGUAAUCUGAUUUGAAAAGAUGACUUGCCAAACAGUUUCGGGAGGCCUGCGUUCUAGUCCUAAUUUUCACUCAAAAAAAUUUGUAAAUUUACUGUUUGGUACUGAAUGUUUGUGUAUCCCCAAAAUUCAUAUUGAAGCCCCAACCCUAAUGUGAUUAUAUUUGGGCCUUUGGGAGGUAAUUAACUUUAGACAAAUUUAUAAGGCCAGAUUCUCAUGUUGGAAUUAGUGUCCCUGUAAGAACAGGAAGAAACAGAAACUCACUUUCUCUCCCCCAUAUGUGGACACAACAAAGUGACCAUCUUCAACCAAGAAGCACAUCCUCACAAAAACCUGACCAUACUGGCACCUUGAUCUUGGACUUCCAACUUGCAAAAGCAUGAAACAUAAAUUUCUGUUGGUUAAGCCAGCUAGUGUAAGUUAUUUGUUCGUGGCGGUAUGGGCUGAUUAAUAAUACUCAUUCAAAUCUCCUUGAAAGGAAAUCGAGGCACCAGGAGAUGGUCGAGUGAAAAAUGAAAGACUGAGACCAGGCAGAGAUACACAUAAGAGUUUAUUUGUCAGAGAUGACAAAUAAAGGCACAUCUCUCCAUAGAUGCAGAGAGGCAAAACAGGCUUGGGGUUCAGGACUUUUAUGGGGCAGGCUCAGAGAUUAUGCAGGUGGUUAAGGGUGGGGUUGGCAUGAGGGAGUGGUGAUAUGCCUUUGGGCAGGAAAGAAUGCAGGCAGUGAAAGGUUGGGCUGGUAUGAGGGAGUGUGAGCCUUUUUCAGAUAUGCCCUUGUGUGGGAAAGGGAAAUGGCAGUUGUCACUUAAGAUGGCGGUCCAGAUGCUAAGCAAGGACCUUACACACCUAACUUAUUUUAGCCUCAGUUCUAUAAUUUAUAAAAAUAACAGGAUCCUAUUAAAUAAUUUUUUAGGUUGAUUCUUGUGCUGGAAUUUGAAUUGCAGUGUACUCUGAUAGUUUAAUUGUGGUGGGGAGAACUUGAGACUGUUUGAAAUUUUGAGUAUUUCUAAAGCAUUGCAUGUAAAAACAUGAAGAAGGCACAAUAAAUUUCUUUGCUAUUUUAUACUGGAACUUGGAAUACAGCUUGAAGUAGUCUUUACUUUGGAUUCAUAAUGUCACUGUCUCUGUGAGAUUCAGCAUUUUUUAUUGAAAAUGAGAAUUGUCUCUCAUCUUGCAAAGAUGUUAUUUGAAAUUGUCAUUUUGUCUAUUAUUUGGAUUCCUUUAAUGGAUAACAUUUAUACUCAGUUUUACUGCUUAUCUUUUCUCUUUAAAGCUAAUCUAAUAUAUUCUCAUUUUAUUAGUGGAAACCCUAUUAGUUUAUCUCUAAACUAUCACAAAAAAGUAAAUAUUUUUAAAUAUUGAAUUCCUUAACCACAUUGAUAUUCCAAAAUAAAAAGGCUCAAAGAAUUCCUAAUUUAAAGGGAUUAGAGAAAUUUGAAUUUUGAUCUAUUUAACUCUCACUUGUAUCAUUUACUUACAACACUUUCAUCAACACUUGAAUAACAUUUCACCACAGGUACAAACCUGGCAGAAAAGAAUUCCAAGUUUCUACAACAAUUGAAGUUUAUCAGUUAUCAUGCUGUGCUUAUAAAUAUUUUGUUGGCUUAAAACCCCAGAAUAUUUAAUUGUUAUUUUCAUCUGUUUGCAAAGAACUAGCUGCUUUUAAAACUUCAAUCCAGAUAAUGUGGAAGUAUCAACAGCUUCUAGUUGGUUUUAUUGAAAUCAGUUCAUCAGUACAACAGCUCUUUUUUAUUAACUACUAUUUUAAUGUCUUAUGCUAUGCUAGUGAAGAGCUGCCUAUUAUUGACAGUAAAAGUACUCAUCAUGUUAUAAUACAGAUUCUUGUAUGGCUGUAUUUAUCAAUUCUAAUAGCAUUAAAGUAACAUAUUAGAACUAGAAAAAUAACCACCCAUAAUCCAAUCAUUUAUUGUUUCAGAGUUCCAAGGGUAAUAUGUUCCAAAAGACCCUCACCCACUUAGCUCCUUCCUUAUGAAACCUACAAUGAGGAAGAUCCAUUUGACAUACAUAACAUUAAUAACAUACAUGUGAGCAUGAGGGAACACACUAUAUCAGUCUUUAAGGGUUUUGAAAUCUUGAAGGUCUUAAAAUCUGAUUGGCCCUUUGAGGUCAUUCAAAUUAUGCUAAGCAAGUUUUUAUUCUCUCAAAAUUUAUAAGGCUAGCCAAAAUUUAUUUUUCUUGCCAUAAAGAAUAACCAAAAUUUAUUUUUCUUGCCAUAAAGGAAAACUGGUGUGGGAAUCGGCCAAAAUAGAUUUCUGCUACAAAACUUCCAUUUCUUAUAUAUUUGAGGCUCGCUUAGAAAAUAUACUAUAAUUAUCAUUUUUCACAUAUAUAUGAAAAUGAUAAUAAUACUAAUUAUACUAAUAAUAUGAACAAUAAUUAUGAACACUAUAUUGAGUAGAAGUGUAUUUAUUAUGCCAUUAUAAUUUCUUAUUUUAUAGUUUGCUUCAAAAAUAUUUAUCAUCUGAAAUAACAAAUAAAUUAUAUUAAAUGUGGAAGAUAAUUAUCCCAAGAUGAAAAUUAAUGUAAACCAUCUAUUAUAAGAGAGGUAACAGAAAAUAAUACAAAAUAAUUCAGAAUCCUGCAUAACUUCUUCUUUAUUUCCAUCAGCUUUAUUCAAAGGUAAUAUAUACAUGACAAGUGUUUCUGUCCUGUUUAGAAGAUAGGAAAACCGAGACAAAAAUAUUUAAAUAAAUUACUCUAGAAAAAAAUGUAAGUGAUUCUCAUGAAGAUCGUGUUCAUAGUUUAGUUCAUACAGGUCCUUGUGCAUGUUUAUCAUUUAUCUUUGAGGAUUAUUCAAAUAGUACCAUGAAAAGAUAAACCCAUAUUAUUUGGUAAGUAAUGGUUUCCUUAAUAAAUUUCUAAUGCAAAACAAAAGUAGUUCUUCCAAAUUUCCAAUUUUAAAUGAUAUGAAAGAAGACCUGAUGUCAUGGAGUUCUGACGGUUUUUUUAAUUGGCAUGUGCAACUGUAAGAAUGGUUAAAAUUAGGGAAAAUUCAAAUUGACUUCUGAUUAUAUUCUCACCUGUUGUAUAUUAUAAGAACAAUUUUUAUGGUCUAUGGAGAACUGAGCUACAGGUAUCUGACAUCGGUACAUGAGAGCUAAACUCAGGGAGGCCCAGAGCUAACAGGAAGUAGAGAGUCACUGAGUCAUGUCAUGGGAAUUCCUGGCUAGUGAGCUUUGAUAACAUUCAGAUAGACCACACUGCUGAUUUUGGAAGAUUUGUUGUGGGAACCCUACGUAUUUACUGUGUUUAAAUAGUCUGGGCUAUUUAUUUCUUUUUAUUUUUCUUUUCUUUUUAUGCCAUAGCAGAGAAAACCUUGGCAUCGUGGUCUCUAUAGAAAAUAUUGUGUAAGCUCUCUGCUUGGCAGUUGUCCUAAGUGAUCAACUGCUCACUCUUGUAUAGGAGGCAGAACCAUAGCAGAAGGGUGUGGCAAAGGAAAGCAGCUCAAAACUUGGCAAGAGGAAGGAGAGAUCUCUGCUCACCAGGGACAAAUUAUAUACUCCAAAGGCACACUUCUAAGCACCUACCUCCUUAAGCCACACCUUACCUGUAUACAGUUCCCAACCAGUUAAUCCCUAUCACUUUAUUUUAAUUCACUGAUUAGGUUAAGGCUAUUCUAACCCAAAUAUUUCACCUCUGAACUUCCUUGCAUUGUCUCACACAUGAGGUUUUGGGAGACACUUUAUAUCUGACUAUAACCGCAGGUAAAAUAUAUAGUAUGCUCAAUGGCAAUAACUGCAUUGGGCGAAAAAAUAAAGCCAGAAAGAGGGGUAGUGAGUUGGUGCAGGUGGGGAUAUGCAGUUGCAAAGCAAGCAGUUGGUGAAUGCUGCACUGAGAAGAUGCGUUUAGAAUUGGUAUUCCAGAAUCCUAGCUCUUUCUGCCCUCUGUUAUAAAAGGACAUUUGAGGUGAACAGCUAACCCUGGGUAGUUCAAUAUCUUGAUGAGUACAUUGUCCCCCACAGUAGUUCUGCCUUUUUGGGUUUACUACUCUGUCUGCUGAGGAACUGACAACAAGUCAUUCAGGGUCACAUUGAGGAGGGCAUUAAUAUGGCACCACUUUAUUGAUUCUCUCAUUGCCCUUUUUCACUAAAUCUCACCUUUGAUCUUGAAUGCCUCCAGCCACUGGGCAUUUUCUGUGAGUACACAACUGUAAAUUUGAGGGCUGAAGUGUUAGAAUCCUAGAUUUGGUUUUCUUAACUUAAUUUUUUUCCUUAUUUUCCUCUUUUGAAUAUACAACGUUUUAUAACAGUUGGUAUAGGAGACAAUUUUUUUAAAAAAUUAAUAAGCUUUAAUUUUUAGAGUAACUUAAAUUUGUAGAAAAAUUGAACAAAAAAACAUAGUUUCCAAAUAAUCUCCACUCCCACUCCCUCACUCACAGUGUCACCUAUUAUUAACAUCUUACUUUAGUAUGGUACAUUUGCUAUAAUUGAUGAACCAAUAUGAUACAUUUUUUAUUAAUAAAAAAUCAUUAUUAAUAUUAGCAUUCACAACUGUUUUAAUGUCCUAUGGGUUUAGACAAAUGCUUAUGCACUUUAUGGAUCAUAUAAUAACAAUUCCUUGUUCAUUCUGGGACCUGGGUGAGGGACUGAGGCUUGAUGAGUGUACAUCCAGAGUAAGGAGGUGUGUCCAUGUCUGAGGGGUGGUUCCCUAAGGAGGUUCUGCUUGCAAUAAUUGACUUGUGGUUCAUAAAGUUCAAGUGAUGGUGAUGAGCUUUUCAGAUGUCCCAACCCUGACCACACACUAAAUGCUGAUUCUCUCUGAGAGAUGUGAUCUGACUGUAAGUACCUGUGUCCCAAACAUCAUAAAACCUUAUUCAACAGAACAGAGAUAUCUGAGAAUAUCUAUGCAAUGAGAUGCCUGAUCCUUUGGUGGACCAUAUUUGGAGCAAGUGAGUAGAAUCACAGGGCACUGAAACUUUGAGUGCUCUUGGGCAACUUAACCUCUUUGAGCCUCAGCAUUUCCAAUUUAAAAAGGCAUAAGGAUACUAAAUUCAUAAUUAAUGAGAUAAACUCUAUGAAGGAACUAGAUCACUCAGUAAAUAGUAGCUGUAGUGUUAUACUAUUAUCCAACUUUUUUUUAAUUGGUUGUUCAAAACAUUACAAAGCUUAUGAUAUAUCAUCUUUCAUACAUUUGACUCAAUUGGGUUAUGAACUCCCAUUUUUACCCCAAAUACAAAUUGCAGAAUCACAUCGGUUACACACUCACAUUUUUACAUAAUGGCAUAUUAGUGACUGUUGUAUUCUGCUACCUUUCCUUUCCCCUACUAUCCCCCCUCCCCUCCCCUCCCAUCAUCCCUCUCUACUUCAUCUGCUGUAUCCAACUUUUCUUAUUGCCCCAUCUAAAGGAGCUCUUGUGUUGAGGUUUCUCAAAAGAAUCCCCUAGUAUAAUGGUGCCAAACUUUAUUCCUCAUCACAUUUGGGGGUAUAAUGGAAAGAGUGUGUUAGAUUCCAACUUUCUAUUUUAUUAUUUAUAAAAACAGAUGGCACCCAGUUUAAUUGAUUCUAACUUCUAAAUAUUAAUUUUUAUUUAAAGUUUACUGUAGUACAGAUGGUAAAUAUACUGUAGCAAGUAUGAAAUUUGAGAAGUUUGCAUAUAAUUAAAAAAGAUAAAGUGAGAUUGGGAAAAGUUUCCGUGGCAGGGCAAGGCAAGCAAUUCCUUGAGGGGAAGAUCUUAUAUGUUGAAAAGGAUAAGGGUAUUGCAGAAGACCAAGGUUAAUCAUGAAACCUCACACCAGAUUCUCACAUCCUCAGCCCUGAGUCUUGAGAAUUUCUCUCUCCCUUUUGGAGCCUUUACCUUGAAUAAACAUUGGAAAAUUGUACUCCUUUCUUUUCUAUUACAGACUACUUGAAAUAUAUAUUGAUAUCUUCUGUAUAUAUAAGGCAUGUAGCUAAAGUAACCUUAAAUAUUUUUAACAUUUGGAUUAUUUUCUAUGUAUAUAUGUGAAAUGAUAAUUAUAUAAGUUGGAUAAGUAGAGCCCAAAGACAUUGAAAAAGCAUAUCUGUUAUACAUAUGUUGCUAAUAACAACAAAAUUAACAAUAUUAGCUGCAACAACAACUACAUCAACAGCCUCAGCAGUUGCUAAGCUUUUUCUUACUUUGUGCAAGGAGAAUGCUGAGAGUUUUACUUGGAUUAUCUCAUUUAAUUUCCACAACAAGUCUACAACACAAGGACUAUGGAUGUCUACAUUUCCCAGAUGAAGAAACNAUUGCAUUUUCAGUUUACCAAGUAGGAGUUUUGGGGAAAAUUAGGCUUAAUUUGUAAAAUCUCUCAUAAUAAUUGAUUUUAAAUAAUGGAGAUCAGUUACUCCCUAUGUGAAUCUGCCAUUUUCUAUUUCCUGAAUUGCAAUGGUUUGCUUAUUCUUUCAUCUUUGAUAAUUAUUUAUCAAUAUUUAUAAUGUUUAUUUUUAAUUUUAUUCAAUUAUGUAUUUGCCAAUAAUUAUAAUUAUUAAACUCACAAGAAAUUCUUAGCACUUAGAGAUAUGGUACUCCAAGAAAAUUUUGAAAAUUAAAAAUCUACAUUUGUAGACUUAUUUUUGUUACAUAAAUAUGAAUAGGUGAUCUGUAAAAUGCUUUAUUGAUAUCCUUUACUUUAGGAUAAAAUUCUAAUGAGCAAGUAGAACUGAUUUUAAGGAAAAAAAAGGAAUACAACAGUUGUCCUUCCUUACUCUGGGGUACAUUCCAAGAUUCCCAGUAGAUACUUGAAACUGUGAAUAGUACUGAAACCUAUGCAUGCUAUGUUUUUUCCUUUACAUACAUACCUCUGAUAAAGUUUAACUUAAAAAUUUUUGUAUAAUUUAUUUAGGGAAGACAGGAUUGGCGCUUGAUUCUUUUUAUUUACUAUUUUUCAAAAUAAUUACUUUGUCCACUAGCAUUUUCCAAUGGUGUUACUGGGAAUUGUUUCAACAUAUUUGUAUAAUUUAAUCCACUGUUGUAAAUAUGUUGUUUUCCUUAAAUGUUUCCCUAUUUGGUCAAUGGAGGCCUCUUGAAGUUGGCUGCUGGUUCUUUUGUCAUAAAUAUUUUUCAUAGCUUCCUGCAGGAUUUCAAGUAUGCUAAGACUCUUCAGGUUUAUCAUAAACAUUGUCUACUUCAGACUUGAAAUAAGCCAUUUCUCUAAGGAAGUAUUUUAGUCAGCUUUUCUGCUGCUGUGACCAAAUGACCUGACCAUUACAACUGAAGUGGAGGAAGAGUUUAUUUGAGGCUCACAGUUUCAGAGGUCUCAAUACAUCGACAGCCAGCUCCAUUCCCCGAGGCUUGAAGUGAGGUAGAACAUCAUGGCAGAAGACUGUGGCAGAAGGAAGCAGCUCACAUCAUGAUCAGAAAGCAGAGAGACACUCCACUCACCAGAUAUAAAUAUAUACUCAAAGCCAUGCCCCAAUUUCCACCUCCUCCAACCACACCUUACCGCUUCAGUUACCACUCAGUUAAUCCCUAUUGAGGGAUGAAGUCACUGAUUGGGUUAAGAUUCUUGCAAUCCAGUCAUUUCUCCUCUGAAACUUCUUGGAUUGUCUCAUGUGAACUUUGGGGGACCCCUCACAUCCAAACCAUAACAGAAAGUCUCUUCCUUUUUAGUAAAAAUAUGGAAUUUGAAAAAUCACAAAUUAUUACUUUUAUUAGUACUAGGCUAGUCAUUGUUCCUAAAUCUUUGCUGUGGAUAGGUAUAAGAAAUAUAUAUCUGUGUAUAAAUGUAUUUAAAGAAAAAAUAAUAAUAAGUUCCUAUUCUUGAUUUCAAUUUAAAUUCAGUACUAUAGGAUUUCUACUUUUCUGCUUUGAUUUUCUGUAUUCUCUUUUCCCAUAGCAAGAAUCCUGGUUCUGAAAAACACUGUAAAUGAUAUAAUAUCAUGCAGUAGUCAUUCGUCUUAUUCCAUAGUCUAUACAAAUGAUUUCAGAAUUGAUAAUUCCAAUACUACUACUUUCUAUGUUAUAUUAGUACUGGAACUAGUUAAUAUUCUUUUUUUUAAAUUUUUAUUGUUGGUUGUUCAAAACAUUUCAUAGUUCUUGAUAUAUCAUAUUUCACACUUUGAUUCAAGUGGGUUAUGAACUCCCAUUUUUACCCCAUAUACAGAUUGCAGAAUCACAUCAGUUACACAUCCAUCGAUUUACAUAUUGCCAUACUAGUGUCUGUUGUAUUCUGCUGCCUUUCCUAUCCUCUACUAUCCCCCCUCCCCUCCCCUGCCCUCCCCUCUUCUCUCUCUAAGGAACUAGUUAAUAUUCAUUCUUGCUAAUUGUUUAGCUAGUUCCUCUCUGCAUGGUUAUAUCUGUUUAACCUAUAUACAACACGAAGUAAAACAAAUAAAUAAUAAAAACAAUCUAAAGAAAAAAUAAUCUCGACUUAAGUCGACCAGUAUAGGUAUACAUAGUAGUUGGGUUCAUUUUGACAAAGUCAUACAUGCAUGGGAGCUUGAUUAACUCCAUUUAAGUCCUUUUUUUUUCUCUAACUUUUCCUCCCUUCUUCCCUUUAUCUAUUCUCCUCCUUGUACUGAUCUUCCUUUUUGCUCAUUUAUUUAUUUCUAAUGGUACUUUUUACAUAUACAUUCAAGUGGAAUUCUCUGUGGUAUGUUUAUAUAUGUACAUAGCAUGGUAUUGUUAAAUUCAUUAUGUAUAUCCUCACCUUUCCCAUUCCUCCUCCCUUCCUCUUGCUCUUUUUCUACUCCACUGAUCUUCUCCAUAUCUUUAUGAUAUCCAUCCCCCCACCACUGGCUUUUAUUCCUCAUUUUGCUACAGCUUCCAUAUAUGAGAGAAAAUAUUUAACUCUUGAUUUUCUGAGUCUUGUUUAUUUCACUUAGCAGGAUGUUAUCCAUUCUCAUCCAUUUGCUAGCAAAUGCCACAUAUAUUUCUUUUUUAAAUGUUUGAUAAUGUCCUAUAAUUCUGUAGGAUAUUAACUUAAAAACGGAAUGUAAUGGAGUCCUAGUUUCUAUUCCUGUCCUUUUUACUCUAUUUUCUUCCUCCCUUAAUAGAUAACCUUUUUUAAAUUUUUCUUUAUUUUUGUACUGGGAUUUAAACCCAGGGUCUCUGUACUACUGAGUUAUAUCCCCAGUCCUUUGUAUUUGAUUUUGAGACAGGGUCUCACUAAGUUGCCCAGGUUGGUCUUGAACUUGGAAUCCUUCUGCCUCAGCCUCCUGAGUAGCUGGGAUUGCAGAUGUACACUACCAUACCAAGCCAAUAGAUAACCAUUUUAAACAAAUUGGACUAUCCUUCUAUCAUCAAUUUAAAUUAUAUAAUUAUAUAUAAUACACAUGUAUAUGUGUAUGUUAUAAAUAUAUAUACAUUUAUAUAUACACAUAAAAAUACACAUAUAUGUAUUCCCCCUUUCUUUAAUUAUAAUACUCUUAGCAUCCCUUAUUCUACUCUUGUUUUUUCAUUUACCAAUAUAUUUAAUUUCAUUUGACAAUAUAUCCUAGAGUUAACUCUGUAGUGCUACAUAUUUUUAUUUUUUUCCUCAACACUUUAGCACUCCAUUUCAUGGAUGUACCAUAAUUUACCCAACCUGACUCUUACUGUGUACUUUUGAGUGUUUUCAGUCCUUGGUUUUUACAACUAUUACUUCAAUGCAAUGUGCAUCUGUCUUUUUGCAUCUUUAUUCCUCUGUAUCCUUGAGAAAGUGGAAUCAAUGCAUUUCCAGAUCCAAAGGUAAGUAUAGUGGUAGUUUUGCCAAUUAUUGCUAAAUUCCCCUUCAUAAGAGUAUUUCAUAUUUACAUUCCCACCUGUAAUGUAUGCAAUACCUCUUUCCUCUUGCCAAAAAAAAAAAAAAAAGAAUGCUGUUCAAGUUUUGGAGUUGUACUAAUCUACUAGAUAAGAAGUGGUAUCUCAGUGUGGUUUUCAUGUGUUUUUAUCUUAUUUUGAGGAAAGUUGAUCAUAUUUUGUUUUAGUCAGCUUUUUCACCCCUGUGACCAAAAGACCUGAAAAGAAUAAUUUUUAAGGAGGAAAAGUUUAUUUGGAGCUCAUGGUUUCAGUCCAUAGACCUUUGCUCUUGGCCUGAGAUAAGGUAGAACUUCAAGGCAGAAGGGCAUGGUGGAGGAAAGCAGCUCAGGACAUGACAACGAGGAAGCAGAGAGAACUCUGGCUCACAAGGGACAAAAUGUGUACUCUUAAGCAUGCCCCAUCCCACCUCCUCCAGCCACACCUUACCUGUCUAGAGUUACUACCCAAUUAAUCCCUAUCAGAGAAUUAAUGCACUGAUUAGUAGGAUAAACCUCUCAUAAUCCAGUCAUUUCACCUCUAUGCUUUCUUGCAUUGUCUCACACAUGGGCUUUUGGGGACAUCUCCUAUCUAAAACAUAACAUCUUUUUAUAUGAUUAGAAGCCAUUUGUAAUGUGAUCCACAUCUUAAUGAACCACAUAUCACUUCUGUGUUGCAUUGCUCCAUAGAUGUUUAUAUUUUAUCCUCUACUUUUAGAAACUCCUUACAUAUUAGGACAUUAAUAAUUUGAAUGUGAUAUACUGCAGAUAUAUUUUCCAAAUUUGUCAUUUGACAUUUACUUCAUUUUUAAAAGUAGGUGAUGAUGGAAAUCAAAUUACUAUGGAAUUAAAUUCCACUGGACACUUUGAAAAAAGAAUUUAUUAUAAAAUGUAAUAUUUUAUCAUAUAUUUGACUUAUAUUCUUUUCUACUGUUAAAUAUGUGUUUUAAAGAUUUUUUAGGAGAUACAAGAAGAGGUACCUGAGGAAAAUCAUUUGAAGGUUACAGAUCCUCAUGAGUAACUUCUUUAGUUUGGCACCAACAAAAGAGCCUGGGCAGAUAUCAGGAAAGUUUAUAUGACUUUGUAGUCUGAAAGUUGAAGUUCAGACUUUGCUGAGUCACCAUAGGCAGGUUUCUAAACCGAUUUGAGCCUUGAUUUCCUCAUACAUAAUAUAUAAAGAUAUUCAUGUAUCUCCCACAUGGGGUCAUUAUGAAGAUUAAGUUAUAUAAUGUCAAUGUGCCUAAAAUAUACAUAGUAGUCCUUAAAUAUUUUUAUGCAAUGUAAGCUUAAAAAAAUAAAAGACAUAGUUAGCUUUAUCAUACUGUCAGUUAUCCAGGAUCAGAUUAUGUUCCUAUGAAUUUAUGAUUUUUCUGCUUAUUUUUCACAGUCUAAAAAGAAAGACUAAAAAUGCUAAUACAUUUGUAUGGUGAUGUUUAGUAUGUCAUUCGUUUCUUUAAUAAUACCUCCUUUAGGUGGGUAGUGUAUAUCAGUUACUAUGAUAAAUAUAGAUAUUUGGAGAUAAGACAUGAUCCCCACCUGCAAGGAACUAUCAGUGAAAUAGGCUAAUGAGUGAACAAACGUAGCAAAAGCAGUGCUGGUUUUGCUGACAGAAGUAUUUAUACAUUGUUGUGGACGCAUAGAACUCUUAACCUGAGAGAGACAAAGAAAUAAGAUCAAAUCAGAUAUCUUAAAUCAGAUAAAUAAUAUAAAGAAUGAAUAAAAGUAAGUAAGAUGACAAAGGGUGUGGUAGGAAGAGGAAACAGGUGGGCAAAUAUUCAAGAGUUCAGAGCCUGAGAGCUGCUGUACCUUAAGUAUAGCUGGAGCACUAUAUAUACUUGAGAGUGACCAAGGUGGGCCUAGAGAUGAAGUUGGAAACUGGGUCAUGGAGGGAAGUGCAGGUCUUACCAAGGAACUUGAAUUAAUAAUGGAGUGUUGUCAGCAUGAAAGUGUCACCAUCAGACUUGUGUUGUUCACAGAUUACUUUGGCUGCAUUAUGAAGAGUUGAUUGGAAGAAAAAUUACAUAUAAGACUUCUGUGCUCAUUCAUCCAGUUAUUUAACAAGAAUUUAUUGAAGUCCUUCAUAUUCCAGGCCUGUGCUAGACACUGAGAAAUCCUAAAUGAAGGCAUUGUCAAUAUGUUUAGACAAUUUGUUGACAUAGCAGAGAAUGGGUUUGUUGUGUUGGGAGAGGUAUUAUGAAAUCUGGUUUAUGUGUCUAGAUUGUGUUUGAGGAGGAAUUUUCCUGUUCCAACUUGUUUUUAACUAUUUGAAGUACUUUUUUGCAUUUCAAUAAAAGACUAUAUUUGUAAGAAUAUACCUUUAAACUUGCACACCUAGUACACCUUGAUACAAACAAUAUAUCUACAUAAUCAGCAUUUAGUUCAAGAAAUAGAACAUUUCCCUUCAUGUUUCCUUCUAGUCACCAACAUUUCACAAUUUAUAAAAACAUAGAUUUAGGUGUUUUGUGCCGCAGUCUGGCUGGGCACAAAAUCACGAGCCACCACACAGCUUGUAGAUUCAAACAGCAACUCUUUAUUCCCGAACUCACACCAGCCGUCUACAAUCACGUUCUGGGGAAAUCCACGUUCUCUGCCCAAAUCCACCCCCACUGGGCUUCUGUCUCCCCAAAAAUACUGUCUGAAUCCCGUGAGAACUCAAGGGGAACUCAGGCAGCAGGAUACGCCCUAUUCCCAGCAGGAAUAACCUUAAACCUGGAAUGUCCUAAACCGGGAACGCCCUAAACCCCGAUUAUCCUAAACCGGGAACACCCUAAACCCGGAUCCGCCCUGGUCCUUGAGCAAGGUCACCUACAUGCAAUGUCACUGCAAAAUGUCCUAUUUCCACGAGUCCUUCCACUAAGCAACAUGGGGUAUGCUGGCAAGGAAAUUGUCAUACCUACUUGGCUAAUGGCUCCCAGCAGUUUUGUUUUGUUUUGUUUUUGUUCAUUAAAGUUAAGUGGUAUGUAUUCUUUUGUGUCAUCUUCUUUAGUUCAACAUUAUUUUUAUGAUAUUCAUCUAAAUUAAUGUAUGAAUCAUAUUUAUUCAUUCUCAUUGCUGCCUAGUAUUCCAUUAUAUGACUAUAUCAUACUUUAUCAUUCUACUUAGAUGAAUAUGUAUAGUUUCUAAUUUGGGGUUAUUUCAAAGAGACAGUUCCUAGUAGCAUUCAAGUGUAUGUUUUUGAUGCACAUACAUUCCUGGGUCCAUCUAGGAGUGAAAUUAUUAGGUCAUAGAAUAUAUCUAUUCAGUACUACAUGUUUUUUUUCUGGUGCUUUUACUAAUUUGAAUUCAUACUUCAAAUUUUGCUAGUGUUUUAAAUUUUAAUCNGGGUAAGAAAAAUGAGAAAAUAUGAUGAGUCACUAUGAGGAGAUUGUAACAAACUUAUAGCCCUUUCACAUUUUUUUAUCUUGAAUUAUUACUUCUCUAAUAGUUCAAUCUGAAGUGUUUCCUAUCUCUUUUGGAAUUUUAUGUUAUUUAUUGUCUAUGCUAGAGCUUUCCCAACUUUUUCAACUUAAGAGACUUAGGAUUUGGAGAAGUUGAAAGUAAUAAGCUGAGGCUGUAACAACCUCAAACCCACAGGUGGACAUGGGUGCUGAGGGGAUUAAGAUCUUGGCCUAUGAGUAACCCAUUUAUGGCACAACCAUUAGAAAGUUCUACUUUAUAACAUUAAUUUCAAGGUUUUGUUUUUAGGUAUUAUUAUUUAAUGAAUUAACCAGUGCUUCUCAAACUUUGGUAUAUAUCGUAACAUCAUAAGCAAUAUCUAAAAAGCUUGUUAAGCACAAAUUUCUGCAGUCUACUCCCAGAUCUUUGGAUUCAUAAGGUCUGGGAUGAGGUCCAAAAAUUGUGUUUCUAACUGUGAUGCUUAUGCUACUGGUCCAGGAACCACAAAUUUGAGAAACACUGCAUGCACCUUGUAACUCUCAGCACAGAACCUUCGUAUAUGGUUGCAUCUCAAUGGCAUUAAUAGCAUUUAAAGUUUGAAUGUUUAAAUGAGUCAACAGUAGAUGAAAAAAGUCAUAAUUUCAAUUUAUUCUUAAGGAUUUGUAUAGAUAGACACCCAUUGCUCCAUGAAGAUGUCUUUUACUUUUCAAGGUAGAAUUCUCCACCCUUCCUUUAUAUUAUUGCUGAAAUUUAUACAUACAUUCAGUUGUGUACUCACACAUUAUUUUGUAAUUUUUACUUACAAGUAUGUCUAAAAACUUCAUAUUUUUGAGCCAAAUAGGUUUAUAUAGCUUCAAAUGUGAGUUCUUAUACUUAUUGUCUCUAAAACUUAGCAACUUACUUAUAGCUCUUAGUGUGAGUUCCUAGUUUUAAGACUGUGGAUGAUAUUGUGGACCUUGUGAGCAUUAUAUGAGGCUCCAUUGUGGAGCCUCAGUAGAUGAUGGUGCACCUUCUUUUUCACAUACCAGAUUCAUAGUAUUCUACUAAUAAUUGUACCCCAGUGCUUGGUACCAUGAGUUGCACUCAUUUGAUAAAUGAUGAGUCAAUAAGCUAACAAGUCCAAGUACACCUAUGAAUCUUAAUUAUUUCUGGUUUAAUUUUUUAUAACCUCCAGUUUCCUUCAGUUUAUGAAAAAUAUCACUGAGUUCCUGAGGCCAUGUCAGACUAAUUCAGGGACUACCUAAAAACUGCCUGAAUUUGGGGUAGAUUGGUCUCUUCAUAUCCUUUUAACAAGAAGAAGUCAAAGUUUCCUUAAAAUCUAGACAAUUUUACAUUUCUCUUGGACAUGAACGGGCUAAAAUGGGUCCAAGGUCUAUGGAGAAACCAUAGAAUGAGUACAUAAUAAUUUGUCUACACCUAUUUUCCUUAAUGUUAGACCUGCUCCUCACUUAUUGGACUUAUCUUUGCAUAUACUUGAUUCUAAACCAUUCUGAAUGGAUUAGAAAAGUUAGGUACCUGAAAGUGUUUCUUGGGUGCAUUUUUGCUACAUGAUAGAUUGGUGAAAGUUUAAUAUUGAGAACUGAGCAAUAAAAUUUCACCAUCAGUGUAUGUCAGUGGUUCUUAAUCUGAUAGUUUUAUUCCCUAUUCACUACCUCAAUUCCAGGAGAACUGGCAGUGUUUGGAGGUAUUUUGAGUUGUUACAUGUCAAAGCCUGAGAGAGGGCAUUGCUUGCAUCUAUCCAGUCAACAGACAUCACUGAUGUUGCUAAAUGUCCUACAAUGUAGGAGACAGAUCCUUGAUCCAUACCACCAUUAUGAUAAAUAAUUUUCCAAUGACAAACGUCAAUAGUGUGGAGACUGAGAAAUUAUGGUAUAUGUUUUUCUUUUUUAUAAUUUAAUUUUGGAAAUUAAUUAUAAACCAAUGGAAAAGUUCUAAAUAAAAAAGACUUGUUAUAAAGAGCAAAUUUAAAAAAUGGCUAAAUUGAUGCUCUUGAAGACUACACAUAGCAAAGGAAGGUACCAUCUAUUUUAUAAUUCAAUAAAUGACAAGGAGAGUGUACUAUGUAAUUUCACUUCACUUCCCAAGCUUUUAUCUUAGAAAGGAAUUAACAUAGGUAGAUAUUGUAUCUAUGUCCAAAUGAUUGGCUUUAAAAGCAUUUAUAAUGAAAGAUUAUUCUUUUUCUAUUCUUCUCUUUAUUUCCUAUUUGAGCCAAAUGGAAAAAAGUAAAUUUAGUUUGAAAAUGUCUAUAAUGCAGCUUGGCCUUUUAGUGCUGCAAAGAUUUGUCCGUUUCAAAAGAGUCCUUGAGCAUUUCUCAGGAAGGUCAUUUUGUUUUGCUUUAAAAAAUGAAAAUAUGUUGUCUGCAUUGCGUAUAGGCAUAAAAUCAGUUGGUCACAUGACUCUUUUCCCCCUAAGGAGCCAAAAAAGCAGGGAGCUAAUGUGACUGAAUUGUGAAUGCACCACUCUGGUAAUCAAUUAUUUCUAAAACACAGCCAUGCAUGUGUUAUAUUUUAGAAUGGAAAGAGCCCUUUGAGAGAACAUUAGAUAUUCCCUCCUAUUCUGAAGUAGAAGUUGCUUUGUGAAUCUAGCAAAUAAAAAAGAAUUGGAAGUUUAUUUAAAUUGAUCUGUGUGCUUGGAAGCUAUGGAUGAAAUACUGUGAAUCAGCCAUGACUGUAAUGCAUUUGCAGGAAUCGGGUGCUGCUAUCUGCCUGCCUGGUUUCUAUUUGGCACACCACAGAAAGAUCUUUACAGCAUAUCUCUGCUGUCUGCCACUCUUUGUGACUAUAUGGUGAGAGCAAUUUCACACUCUUUUGUCUUUUCUAUGAAAAAAGCAGAAGUGUCUGACUGAACAUUUUAUUCAUAUUUUAAGAUCAUCACAGCAGUGACUUGUUCAAAACAAUGUAGCCAGUGCUUCACGAACAUCCAUUCUUUCCCCUCAUCCCUAUCCUUUCUGGAAUGUUUUCCUUGGGAUGUCUCAGAUCAGGUGAUCCAGAUCCUAUAUUUGGCUCCAUCAUUACCUCAUCAUAUGGGAUUGGACCAAACUCAACUCAAAUGUCUCAAUUUCCUCUUAUAUAAAAUGGGUUAAUAAUGCCUGCUCUUGUUAUCUCACAGAAUUAUUGUGAGCAACUAAUACACAUAGUAAAUAUUUUGACCUCUCUCUGCUCUAAUAUUUCUUUUCCAAUGUCUCUUUCGCAGUCACAUACCUAAUGUCUAUGAGAGUAUCAGUAAACACCACUCCUUAAAUACCUGUUGAAUGAAACAUAAGCUAUUUCAAUUUAAUAAUUCUUUCUGCUAUUCAUAGUAAGGGGCAUUCCAUAUAAACUAAACUUUCAGUGAUUCAAUGAGCCAAAAUGUUAAAAACAUCUUUGAAAAUGAUCUAAAGACAAAAAAAAAAAAAUAGAGCAUCUGAACUUUAAUUCUUAAAGUUACUUUAGUUCAUUGUUUAUAGGGGAAAGUGGUCAUAUAAUAUGGAUUAAGAGCUGGGCCUGGGAAUUAGGCUAUUCUCAGUUGACCACUAAUUCUGAAACUUACCUGUGGCACUGUGUAAGUUUCUUAAAUGAUAUAAACUUCAGUUUAUGUGUGUCUGUGAAAAAUGGAAAACUAAUAAUACAUUGCUUAUUGUAUUAUUCUGAGGGUUAAAUGAGGUAAUUUGUACAAGUGCUUAGCAUGAUUCCUGAUAUGUAGUAAUUAUACAUAUUAGGGUAGGCCUAUCUGUGGUAACAAAUAUGUCCCCCAAAUAAAUACUGAUUUAGCUACAACAAUUUAAGACUUAUAUUCUUAUUUAGGAGGUUGCUUACUUUUAUAUAAUGUUCAGGAAUUCAAUUCCUUUCUUUUAAAGACCCUGCCUUUAUAUCUAAAUUAGCAAAAUAGGAAGAAGAGGAUAGACAGGGCAGUUGGUAGGCAAUUACCAUAUUGCUCCUGCAUUCAUCCAUUGAUGAGAACUUGAAGAAGAAAGAACAAAUGAGAUGGUUGAUGUCUUAAUCUGUUUUGUGAUGCUAUAACAGAAUACCCUUGACAGGGUAAUUAUUGAUGAACAGAUAUUUAUUUCUCGGUUUUUGAGGCUAAGAAGUACAAGAUCAAGGUACCACCACCUGGUGGGGGCUUUCUUGCUGUACCAUUCCAUGCCAGAAAUAAAAGGAAGAGGAGAAUAGAUUAACAUAUCCCUUUAUAAGGAACCCACUCCUGCAAUUUUGAACUCACUUCCAUAAUAAUGGAAUUAAUCCAUUUAUGAGGACAGUGCCUCCAUAACCCAAAUACCUGACUUUGGCUCCACCUUCCAACACCUCUGCAUUGGGAAUCAAGUUUCCAACACAAGAACAUUGGAGAAACAUAUUUAAACCACAGCAGUUAUGAUUACAAGAACCAUACUGGAUUACUAGAUGAAAGGAACAGUAGGCAUUAAAGCUAAAGAUAAAGCAUUUCAAAAUAGACUGGCUAUAGAGAUACUGGUUUCUCUGAUUUUUUUUUUAGAAAGGCACAAAAAUCGUAAGUAGGAUGGAAAGAGAGAAUUAAGGAUUCUGAUUUAGAAUAUUGAAUUAGAUCUCCAGAAGAAUAUCCAUGUGGGAGAGUCUUUCAGGCAAUUAGAGAUAGAAGAUUGAAACUGGGGAUGCUAUGGAGUUCAGAGUGGUUAUUCUUAUAGAACUAUUUGAGCCAAAUGGUUAUAAAUAGUUAUAUCCCUAUGAUUAAAGGCAACUCCUAAAAAGAUGAUUCAUCAAAUUUAACUUGCCUUAUUUAUGUCACAUUUGCCACUACUUUUGCUUAAGUAACAAAAGUGUGAUUAUUACUUUUCAUAGAGUAACUGGACUGUGAAGAUCUUGCGGAUCAUCCCCUUGAACAGAAGUUCAAAGUUGUCCUUAAAUCAGGCCUAGUGAUUAAGUAUGAUAUUAAAUAUACACAUAUAUAUAUUUCAAGAAACAUGUUCUAUAUAUAGAUUAUAUAUAGAAUAUAUAUAUAUAUAUCAAGAUAUAUAUGUGUUCUGUAUAUAGAUUAUCUAUAUAUAGAAGGUAUAUAUCUAUACACAUAUAGAUAUAUAUUAUCUAUAAAGUAGAGAUAAUAAUAACAUCUACCUUAUGGAAUUUUUGUGAAGAUUAACAUACAGUUGUCCCUGGGUGUCUGUUGGGGUAUUGGUUCUAAGACCUUUCGUGAAUACCAAAAUCUUGCAUACAAUCUGAGCACCUUCUCCCAUAUUCUUCAAAUCAUCUCUAAACUACUUGUAAUAGCUAAUACAAUAUAAAGGCCAUAUGAAUAUUUGUUGCACUGUAUGGCUUAAGAACUAAUGGCUCGGAAAGAGCCUGUAUGUGUUCAGUACAGAUGCAAUACUUUUUUAAAAAAUAUUUCUGAUCUGUAGUUAGUUGAAUCCAUGGACAUAGAACCCACAGAUAUGGGAGACCUCAGCUGUAGAUGGUGUAGAUAGAAUAUCUAAGUGCCUAGUACAUGGUAUACUCUCCCAUCUUACUUUCAAAUUAUUGUCAUUGUUACUAUUAUACCCUUAAUUUAAAUAUGCAACACAAAGACCACCCAACCACAGACAGAUUUAAUAGAUGCCCUCAUUUUGCCCUGAGAAGAGUUAUCCUGCACUUAGAGUAUCCAAACUUCAACCUCAACCUCUAAUACGAUACUUUCUAGUCAUCUACAGAAAGGCCAGCUUUCAGAAGAUCUCCUUUUUGUUUAGUGUCCUCUUAGAAAAUAAAAGUAUCUGCCACCCAACCAUACACUGGUUAUAUCCUUGGGAAAAUAUUUGUUUGUUAUUAUGUAGGCCAAAGAUCAGAAAAAACUGCCAAGUAUAUAUUUUCCUUCUGUAUUGUAUUAAAAUAGUAUUUAGGGGUUUAAAAGACUUUUGAGUUCACAAAAGCCAUCUUCUGACUCUUAGACUACUUUAUAUUCAUGUUAUAUUUUCUGCCUUGAAAGCAAUUUAGAAAUACCAACUAAUGCCAUAAAAUUAUGCUACAUUUCUAGGUUAGUUUGUUAGUUGGUUUUGGUUUAUAUUUACUGCUUUCACUUAGAGAUUUUCAUCUAACUUCUAUCCAGUCUUUAAACUUUUAUGUGGUAUUAGUAUGCAAAUACAUUAAAGUUGAGUGAGAUAGAAUAAAAUACAAAUAAGUAGAGAGCGCAUUCAUUUUACAGGUGUAAUGUUAAAGAUGCAAGUCUGGAAAUACUUUAUAAUUAUUUGCUAUGAGUAUAGGGGAAUUUCAUAGUUAGAUUUUUGUUCUCAUUUUUUGCUUAAUGUUAACUACAUUAUCCUGACAGCUGAUAGUAAUCUGGUAUAGGGAAGGUGCUCUUGCCAGGUUAUACACUACUCUAUUUCCUUAGGAAAGAUAUUUGUAAUAUACAAAGUAUUCGGCAGAUUCUUUUUUUCUCUAGCCAAUCUAGAAGGCUUCUUAGUGUAGCAUAUGUCAUUUCUCCAGGUAAGCCAGUCAAUCUCUAUAGGAAUAAAUGAGGAAAGUGUUGCAUGUAGAUCCAGGAGGUUAGAUCCCAUAAGAUUCAUCCUGAAUACAAGGGGAACCUAUCAGAGAUUUUCAGGCACUAAAACGGAACAUUAUCUGAUGUAUACUUUUUGAAGAUUCUUUUUGGAGGUAACAUCAUAAGAAUAAAAAAUAGAAGCAAGACCAAUUAAGAGACUUCUGCAGUACAAGCAACAUACGCAUGAGGAUCUAACAAGGAAAAAUGCUCCUGCACAUACUACCAUUGGUUUUAUACUACUAUUGGUUAGUGCACCCCAGAACUCAAAUUAAGUUACCACAGUGAAUGGUAGAAGUAAGGAAGAUGACAAUGAAGAUGGUAAAAAUAAAUGCAAAAGAGAAUUGGAAAAAUAAUGCAAAAUAGUUAAAAGGACCUGGUAAUAAAUAUAGAUUGAGAGAAGGAGAAAUCAAUGACAGUUUUCUAAUUUUGAGUUUGAAGUUGUGCUUACAGAGAUGGGGAAGAUCCAGGGUUUAAAUGAUUACCUGUAGUCUUACUUCACUACUGGACCAGAGCUCCCCACAGGCAGGUAACACAGCUACUAACAUAGUAUCUGGCACAUAGCAGACCUUCAACACAUCUUUAAAUGAGAAAAGAUAGAGAAUUAUUAUGCGAAAGUAGCAUAAUAUCACUAUCAAAAGAGGAGAGUAUAUAGUGAUGCUCAGAAUCCCUGUAGACACUAAAAUUCCCAGAUGCCUAAGCCCUUAUAUGAAAUGGUGUAGCAUUUGCAUAUAACCCUUCCAAUUUCUCCCAAAUACUCUAAAUCAUCUCUAGAUUGCUUAUAAUGUAAGCUGCUGCUAUAAUAAUAAAUAGUUGCUGCUGCUUUGGGAUAAAUCCAAGCAGCCUAUACACCUGGUUAGUGUCUCUGAAAGAAAGAAAAAGAGGGAAACAAAAAAGUAUGUGAAAGAACAAUGGCCAAAAUUUUCCAAAUUUAGUGAAAACUCCAAACCUACUAGCAUAGAUGCCUAUCAGGAAGUUCAAGGAACUCCAAAACAAAAAAUUUGAAAAUCAUACCAAAGUACAUCAUAAUGAAGAUAAUUAAAACCAGUGAGAAAAAAAGAUAAAAAUAGAGGAGGAAAAGAUACAUUUCACACAGUGGAACAAAGAUAAGAAUGACAUCAGAUUUAUGUUUGUAAACAAUGCAAGCCAAUGGAGCAAUCUGUUUAAGUAUUGUGAGGAAAAAGCAAAACUAGAAUUAUAAACCCAGAAAGAUAAUCUUUCAAAUAAAGGUGAAAUAAUCGUUGUCUUAUGCAUACAACAAUAAAAAAUAAAAAUUCGUUACCAGCACAUCUGAAGUUCUAAGAAUAUUAAAGAUCUUCAGCCAAAGGAAAAUUGUACCAGAGGUAAAUAUGCAUCUACUCAAAGGAGCAAGGAGUCAAUGGAAAUGAUAAAUGCAUAAAUAAAUGCAACUUAAGACAUUUUAAUCUCUGAAAAUAAUUGUUUAAAGCAAAUAUGGCAACAGUGUAUUUGGUGGUUUAUAACAGAUGUAGCAGUAAAAUGUAUGACAGUGAGUCAACUAAGGAGAUAAAAUCUUUUAAAAAAUUAAUUAAUGCAAAAGAAAUGAGACAAAGAAGCAAAGGCAAUUCAAUAGAGAAAAAAAUAGUCUCUUGAGCAAAUGGUGCUGAGAUAAUUGGAUGUCAAAUUGGAUAUAUAUUCAAAAGCAAUGAAAUUUAGCCCAUACCUCUCACCACAUUCAAACAUUAUUUCCAAAGGGAUCAUAGGCAAAUAUAAAAUAGGCAAAUAUAAAAUAAAAUAUAAAAAAAUAAAGCUUGGCUUAGACAAAGAUAUUUUUAUGUAUAACACCAAAAACAAUUCAUAAAAAGAACAGAUCCUAAAUUAGAUAUUUUCAAUAUUAAGGACUUCUUUCUUUAAAAGAGACUGCUAAGAGAAUAAAAAGAUGAUCCAUAGAUUGGGAGUAAAUCUUCAUAAAUCACUUUUCUAAUAAAGGACUUAUAUCCAGAAUAUAUAAAGAAUUUUAAAAAUGUAGUAAUGAGGACACAAUCAACUUUUUCAAAAGUGGGAAAAUGACUUGAAAGCAACUAUUAAAAUCAUCAUAGAGAUGUAAAUAAGCAUAUGAAAAAGUAACUCAAUGUUAUUAGAUAUUGGNACAAUCAACUUUUUCAAAAGUGGGAAAAUGACUUGAAAGCAACUAUUAAAAUCAGCAUAGAGAUGUAAAUAAGCAUAUGAAAAAGUAACUCAAUGUUAUUAGAUAUUGGGGAAGUGCAAAUUACAACUACAAAAAAUGUUAAAUCCCACCAUAUAUACCUAUUAGAAUAGCAGAAAUUAAAGAGACUUUUCCAUACCACAUGUUGACAAGGAUGUGGAAUAACCAGCACUCUUGCACACUGCUAAUGGGAAUAUAAAAUGGUACAGUACUUUGGAAACAGCUUGGCUGAUAUUUGCCUAUCAUGCAGUUCCAUCCUAUCACUUUCAUAAGAAUAAGAAGAAAAUAUCCAUAUAAAAAUUCUAUAUCAAUUUUCAUAGCAUCUGUGUUUGUAAUAGUACAAAAUUGGAAAUAAGCUAAUUGUCUAUCAACAGAUAAAUGAAUAAACAGAUUGUGACAUCUCUAUAUAAUGGAAUUCUACUCACCAAUAAAUAGAACAAAAAAUUGAUACACAGAAACAAUAUGAAUAAAUCUUAAAUACAUUAUACUAAGUGAAAGAGGCCAACAAAACAUUAUAAGUAUUUUAUAAGUCCCUCAAUCUUUCAUGAGAGAAAGCAGAUCUGAGGGUUAGGGUGGGUGGGAGGUUUGAAAGGGCAAGAGAAGAGGUUAUAAAAAGUACCAAGAAAUUUUGGGAGGGAAGAUACAAACAUGUUUAUCAUCUUAAUUGUGGCCAUAUUUUUAUGGGUAUAGUCUUAUGUAAAAAUUUAUCAACUUGUACACUUUAAAUCUGUACCAUUUAUUCUAUGUCACUUAUACCUCAAUAAGGCUGUAAAAAACUUAUUCUAAAGAAAGCAUGAUUAAAAAAGAAAUAACAAACAUAGUGCAGGUUGUGCCCUUCUCAGAGGUGCCCAGUUACAAGAAGAAGUGAGUCUGAAAUUCAGACAUUUGUGCCAUUAGUUGGGAAGAAGUGUAUCUUUUUGUAAUUCAGCCACCUGAAGAAAGAUAGGGUAAUUUGCUUUAAAUGUCAUCUCUGUGUAAGAAGCAGCCUUGUUAUGAUCAUAAUUUAUUAUACUUUACUCUAUUUGAAGAUAAGAAAAAAAAGAAAAGAAAUUGCUGGACUUAAAAGUUUGUGUACACACAAGAAAUCAGAUCACAACUAUUCAUUUGAGUUAAUAAGAAAUAUGAAAAAAAACUAAACAGUUGUGUUCAUAAUGCUUUUAUAAACUACAUAUUUAAAUUUUAAAUAGUAUCUGUUAUAAAAAAUAAGAAAAAUGAACACAUUUACACCUUUCCAACUGUCCUCCAUAUUUUUUGAGCUUUAUCUUUAUGUGAUUAUUUUGACAUCAUCAUCAUCAUAAUUGACAUAAUAAUAAUAUGUCAAUUUAUUGUCAGAAUAAAAAUAGAGAUAACUGUGAAUUAUGAUGAAAGAACUAUAACUAUGGAAGACCUUGAUUUCAAUUUGAAAUGGACUUAGUGCUCACUAUGUCUCCGCUAUCAAACUGCAUUUUGUAAGGAGGUACUGCUAUGAAAUUAAUGUUUAUGCCCUCCUCCCCACAUUCAUAUAUUGAAACCUAAUCCAGAUGUGCUAAUAUUUAGAGGUGGGUUGAUUAAGCCAGGAAGGUAGAUCCCUCUUGCAUGGGAUUAGUGCUCUAAUAAGAAGCUCAGAGAGACCCUUUCUGCUUCUGCCUUGUGAGGACACAUUAAAACCAUGGUCAUUUAUGAACUAGGAAGCAGAAUAUAUUCAGACAUCAUAUUAGCAACUUUAUCUUGGAAUUUUCAAUCUCCCAAACUGUGAAGCAUAAAUUUCGGUGGUUUAUAAAGCACCCAGUCUAUGUAGUUUCUUACAGUGGCCCAAAUUGACCAAGAAAAGGUAUGUUGGACACUUCGUGUACACAUUUCUCACCUGACUAGGUAUAUACUUUUGGGGCCACAUUUUUUUUCUCUUAGGUUUUUGUAAGUAAAACUUUACUUUUUUGGUAUUGAAGGUUUUCUAGAUGCUUAUAUUAUUCACUAUUUGGAAGGAUAUACCAAUAACUUCACUGGAACUUGACAUUACUUCUAUUUUAUAUUCUGGAUCACAAGGUGACUCAUCAAGCAACAAAUUUAAAUUGCUUUUAUUUCAUAAAAGUUUUCUGCUUCCAUGUGUCCUUCUUGUUCUCUUUUCUAGGAAAACCAGUUUUAUAUAUGCUAUUUGUGUCUGCAGCAUUAUUAUAUUUCUCUUCUAUUUCAAUCUAAGGCCUUUUCAGCCUACUUUUUUUUUGUCUAAGUGGUUUUAAAAUAUAUGUUUUUAAUAAUUAUUUCUUUUUAGUGUAGAAACUUCUGAAAAGAGAUCAUUGAAACUAUGGAGAAAUAUUAUUCUGAAUUUUUAUUGAGUUUCUUAGAGCAAUUUAUUUGUGAUGUAGUUUUGUUCUAUUCUUCUCUUUUUUCAAAAAACUUUUUAGCCAGUCCCUGAGUGGUCCCUUUGCCAUUAUUACUCACACUUAAAUUAUAUGUCCUAUUUGCAAAGGAAUAAUAUGAUCCUAAGGCUGGUGUGGAAGAUAAGUUGGGACAGUUUGUUGUUUUGUCAUAAAUAUUCUGUCACCAAUUCUGUUAUUUCCUUUGUCCCAGGGGCAAGUCUUCUCUAAUUUUUGGACAUUCUUGGCAAAUAUUUUUCUGCAGAGGGCCAGAUAAUAAAUAUUUUAGACUUUGAUAGUCAUUCUGUUUCUGUCUCAAUUAUCCAACUCUCCCAUUGUAGCCUACUAUGAAUUGCAUCCCCUUUCUUAGUCUGGUCAGACUGCUAUAACAAAAUACUAUAAGUCACUUAGCUUAUAAAAAACAAAUUUAUUUCUCACACUUCUGGAGACUGAGAUCCCAGAUCAAGGUGCCAGCAGAUUUGGUGUCUUGUGAGGGCUGGCUUUCUGGUUCACAGAUGGUGAUUUUUUGCUGUGUCCUUACAUGGUAGAAUAUACAUGCAGCUUUCUGGGGUCUCUUUUCUAAAGGGACUAAUCCCAUUUAUGAUAAUUCUGCAUUCAUGACCUAAUCAUCUCCCAAAGCCCCCAUUUCCUAAUACUCCCUGUCUUCCUUUUAUGAUAGGGAGCUGCUCACAAGGGGACUCCGGCUUCUCCCACUCUCUCCUGGUACUGAGAGUUCCAGUUAUAGAUCAUCACCAGGCCUUCCACUCUUGUGACACUUAUUUUUGGACAAGGCUGCAUCCUGUUCAGAGCUGGAGAUUUGGGCAUAUUCUCAUCAUUCUCAUUUUGGCAGAACUUUCCAUUGUAAUUGGCUUCUGUGUGUCAUCUGUGGUUUAGGCUUAUGGCCAUAUUCUUAUUUUAUAGGUGAAAGAGUGUUGAAUUUUGUCCCUCCUGAUUUCCAUUAUGUCACUAGACUUUAAGAACUGAAGCAAAUAAAAGUUCCUGUACUUACACAUUUUUGAAAGAAAGACAAACAAAUAAUUCUGAACAGUUGGGAAUGUAUCUGUGUUCCCAGAGCAUAUCUCAGGGCCCUGUCCAGAGCAAAUUUCUGCUGAAUCACUAGUGUUCUUGAUUUUCCCCAUUUUAUAUUUCUCUACUUCCUUUCUCUACACUGGGACUACCAUUACAAAUGCUGACUUCUUUGCAUGUCUGCACCAGCCUCCAGACUUGCUUCUCUGACCUGUCCUUGUUCUUCACAAAUUCAUUCUCUACUUUGCAGCCAAAUGAUCUCAUAUCACACAUCUUGUUUUAAAUUCUUCAGUAGCAGCUCUUUUUUCUUGGAUAAGCUCUAGAGACAAGCACAUAGUAUUCAUUCAGUAAAUAUCUGUGAAAUGAAAGAUUGUAGGAAAUCAGGAGUCUUAGGCCUUGAGAUGGAACAGAGAUAGGUCAUAAAGUUGUAGUAUCCCUUUUGCCAGUUCAUUAAAUCUUCACUUGCUUCAGUUCUUUUGUCUAUAAAUAUGUGCUUAGGGCCAGAAACAAAAAUAAGACAAUGUAUAAAUGUGUUGGUUCAUGUCUGCCAAGAAGCUUAUAUCAAGAUAGGAUAAGAUACACAAGAGAUUCAUUGAGAAAGGGAAGAAGGAAAAGUGAGAAGAGCCUCCAGGCUACAGUGGACAUCUGACAUGAAUGAAAGGAGAGAGGGAUGGAGGAGUCUCAGGCUACAGUGCAGUUCUAAGGAAGGCUUAACCAGACCCAGGACAAGUCCUGGAGUCAAAACCAUCCAUAAGAGGUGAGGUGAAUGGGAUCUGUAUUGGUAUACACCAUCCCCUCCUUGACGCUCCCACUGAUGUGAGCAGCCUAUGGAAGUAUGGCUUUUUUAUUAAAAGGGUGAUGGACCAAGACAGGCAAAUACUUCCCACAGUAGAAGAUCUGAGCAGUGCUGGAUGUGGUGGCAUAUGCCUAUAAUCCCAGCAAUCGGUAGACUAAGGCAGGAGGAUCACAAGUUGGAGGCCAACCUCAGCAACUUAGUGAAGCUCUAAGUGAGACCCUGUCUCACAAUAAAAAAUAAAAAGGACUGGGAAUGUAGCUCAACAGUAAAGCUUCUCUGGGUUGAAUCCCCAGUACAAAAGAAAAUGAGGAAGAGGAAAACGAAGAGGAAGGGGAAGGAAAGAGGGUGAGGAGGGGGAAGAACUGAGCAGUACAUUUUGCAAAGACCCUUAGAGUUAUGAGAUGAUGAGACAAUAAGCAUAAGAAAAAAAAUCAUCUUUCAACUACACAAUGGCUGUCUAUUUAGCUUGUGAGCUUCACAUCAUAGACCCAUCACCCUUGCUUUUUAAGUCUCUUUUUCCUGCUACAUUCCUUUUAUCCAUCUCACUCAGAACUUUUAUGUAGAGGUUGGCAGGAACAGAGAAGCAGAACUUCAGACCAUUCCUUUCAGCUGUUGGGCUUUUAGGAGGACCCAACCCCCAUCCUCCAACCAUCACCACAACCUUUUAUAUUUUAUCUUUCCAUUUCUGAGGAAUAAUUUUCUCUUCUUAAAAUGGUAGCAUGCAGCAGUGUUUAUGCAACUGUUUUGUUACAGAUGAUGUGAAAUUACAUUUGGGUCAGUAAGUUUUAAGGUCCUACAUCUCUAUUAACAGAUAAAAGCAGUGAUACUAUAUUAUUAUUAUCUCCUGUACUUCAUCUCUUAUUGAUAUUUACUUAAACAAUUGACUAUUCUGUGGCUUUCAAAUUAAAAAUGAAGGGAUAAAAACCCCAAAUCACCAUUGUUUCCUCCAUACUUAAAAUAAAAAAAUGUUCUUAAGGAUCAUUUUUAAUUUUUUUAAGUCCUUAGGAUUUAUCCAGGAAGUUCCUUGAGUGGGGUCCAGAAAGAGGUGUGGCCAUCCAUUUCUGACAUUUUCCAGGGCUGUGUCAGAAAUUAUUCUGUUGGCCGAUGUUCAGCUGAAUGAGUCAAGGCCUUAGAGGCAUUGGCUUAUGAGGCAGGAUUUUGGUAGGAUUUUUUAAAACUGCACUACUCCUAUAAAGAAAAUGAAGCUUUAAAUAAAACAUGCUACUUUAAUCUUAUAUAAUCUUGAAAGCUGGAAGUACUAGGCUAUUAAAAACAAGCCUGAAGGCCAAAGCAAAUAUGGCUAUGAAACAGGCAAACUCUCGGGGAUGUUACCCAAGGAGGAUCACAAAGUGCUAACAGCUAAACCAAACUCUUGAUCUUGAUCUCUUUUAAAUAGACCUAACAGGUAAAGCGUAUGACUACUUAGGGACAAAAUUGGGAUGUGACAGAAUGACUCUUUCCCAAAACUUCUUUAAUGUUAGGCAAUAUAUUUUAGAGUUACAGAUGAAACUAAAAACAGUAGCUAAAAAGAAGGACAUUUUUAUAUAAAUAUACACAUGUGUUUCAGACUAUGCAUUUACUCAGACUGAAUUAAAAAAUCUGUGUUCGGUCUACUGCUAGAUUCAAUAGAUGGGAGAUAGUACACAAUUUUUAAAAUUUAAUCUUUACAUUUAUGUGAGGUCUAUAUUACUAUCUCCCUUUUAUACAUAAGUCUUAGCCAAGUGAAGAAUACUCAUGUAACUAGUAAGAGUUGUAAUCAAGACUCAACCUCAAUGUGUCAAACUAAGAACGCAGGUUUUUUUUUAGUACAAGUUGGCUAUUCUUUAUCUUAAAUGCCUAGAAUCAGAAGUGUCUUGGAUUUUGUAGUUUUUCAUAUUUAAGAUUAUUUGUAUAUAAAUAAUGAUAUAUCUUAGGGAUGUAACUGAAGUCUAACACAAAGUCCUUUUAUAUUUUAUAGGCACCUUAACUAUAUAUAUAUCUUAACAGUAAUUUUAUAUAAUAUUCUGGAAAUUUUUGUUCAUGAAACAAAAUUCAUGGUGCGGAAUUGUCCACUGACCAGACCAGCAUCAUGUCAGUGCUCAAGAUGUUUCAGAUCUUGGAGCAUUUCAGAUCUUUGUAUUGGGGAUGUUCAGCCUGUAUACCACAAUGGCUUAAAAGAAAUAGAGAUGAAUUGUCAUUUCUUCACAUUUACUUGAAGAGAGAAGAUACAUUUGUGAAUUAACUAGAGAAUAAUUUGUGGAGAUAUAUGUGAGACUAUAUUCUGAGCACUACAGGAGUACAGAAGUUGCUUUACAAACAGAAAACUCUUUUCUCCUAUGCUCCUCUCUAGCUCCAGGACCCCCUUACACCUGUCUUUCAUAUCCUAAGAGAAUUGAACCCCAACUAUCAGCUGUCCACCACAGCCAGACUGUCAAUAUCCACACCCUCCUUAUUUUCUCCAGUUGGCUCUUCUCUCUGGGACCCACUCUUAGAGCCUCCUGUGGGUCUGUGUUUCCUGGAAUCUGCAACUAUGGUCUUCACAAGUUCUUUUCCCUUGGUCUGUGAAUAUAUUGAAAUCUCGUCUAAUUUUAAAAAGUGCUUCAUCAAAUUACCUCCUAAGACUAGAAGUUUGGCUUCCUUCAACUUUUCUGAGUUUCUUGAGAUUAUAUUACUUUAUUUAUUCCUUUUUUCUAUUCUAAUUGCUAUCCCCUGGUUCUGGCCAAGGUCACUUCAUAAUUACCAACUUUAGAGUUGCCAUUUUCAGCCCUUUGCUAUUAAUCUACUUCUGCUGAUUAAAAUCUUCCCUCUUCUAAUAUAUAUAUUCCUUUUCUUCUCUGGCUGCUUUUUCUUAGUCAUCCUUUCAUCUUUUCAUCCUCAUAAAUACCAGCUGCCCAGAUUUUUGCCUUUACCUUUCUUUUUCUUAGCAAAAUCGCUUUUUCUGAACAACCUGAUACUUGUUCAAAGUUGGAAUUAUUGAUAGUCUGUACUCAUUCAGUCCAGACCACUUUACUGAGCUCUAGCUUCUUUAUACAGUCCCAGCUGGUGUCCCACAGACACUUCAAACUCAAGGUGUCCAAAAACAAAAUUCCCUUCCACACCUCUCCUAUCACUCAUCUUCAUCAAUGUGACACUGCCACAAACCAGGUAGCCCAGACCUGGAAACUAUUCAAGACACUCCCUCUCACACUUGCUUCCUCUCUUUGCUUUUAAUCAGUCCCUUGUAAAUAUGACUCAUACCUGUCCGUCCUCACAGUCUAGUACCAGCCCUAUGUUUUACCUAGUCAUGGUCCAUUGUAACAGUCCCCUGGAUUGUAUCCAGUUUCUUCACCCUAUCCACAGUCUACCCCUUGUGGUGGCUCCAGAUUUGCCAUUAUAAAACCUGCAUUUUAGAGUCUUCAUUACCCAUAAAAGUCAUUCUCAACUCCUAAAUGUAGUAUGCAAACUCUUUCAUGAUCUAGCCCAAUCCUAUCCUUCUAAACACAUCACUCUCUACUCUUCUCCAAAACUGAUAUUGUAGCAACAUCAGAAUCCCUUCAUUUCUCUAGACACCCCUGCUUUCUUCUGCCCCUCAUACACAUUGCUCCUCCUCCUUGAAAUUCCCCUCUUACUCUUCCUAUGAGCCUAUUACUCUUUAUAAAACAUCUCUGAUUUUCUCUAUGAGAUCCACCACUCGUUCCUCUUUGGAAAUCAGUAUGUUUUAUGUACACCUUUGUUCCUAUACUUGUUCUGUAGUAUUAUAAACUUUGUGUUGUUGGUGGCAGAGGGUUGUCUUCUGCCUUAUCCUGGAAUUUUAUUCAGGGAAUAAGAACUCAGUUUCAUUCUAAGAUAGCCAGGUUUUCAAUUGCACAUACAAACUAUUUAACCAUCAUCUUUAUUCUUAAAUGUUAACUGAACUUAUUAUCUAAGUCAGGUAACUCCAUAUUGUAAUAAAUCUGCAAUUAAUUGCUUUCUAAUAGUGUUAUGUGUAUAUGUCUUAUCUAUCCUUCUAGAUUAUCAAAGUUUGGUGUUUUACCCACAAAAUUAUCCUAGAAUGGAUCAGGUGUUUCUUAAAGCUAGAUAGUAAAGUCCAAGAUGGUGGAAAUGCUUUUUAUUUGGGUCUUGAUCUGAUUACUUGUCUAGGAAAUCCCUAUUUCAAUCAUGAAACAAAAUACUCUUUUAUGAUUAUUAAAGAAUUAUGAGCUAAAGAAAUGGGAAUCUGAACUAAUUAACUAAAAAAUCAAACAUUUUCUGUUUGUUCAGAUUAGUUCAGAUUCCCGUUUCUUUAUUUCUCACAAAUUAACCCUUUGGCUUUAUAUUCAGAGCUUUUGUUUGUCAAAAGCAUCUCAGAGCAUAAUAUUUUUUUAAUUACUGUCUGGCAAAUGCUUGUGUGCAUUUAGUCAUUAAUUUUUAAUUUUUCAAAGUCUAGUGAAAAUACAUGUGGUAUGUGUUAUACUCUUGCAUGGAUUCUUCCAGAUAAGUAUAUAUUUCAGAGUAAAACAGAAAUAAUUUUUUGGCUGGGGUGAAUGAGAGUCAGAGCACAGCCCAAGUCAUAUGUCCAUAUUGGAGCGGGACACUGAGUACAGGAUCUAAAGAGAGGAGCACAAAAAUGUCUGAGCAAGAGGGAACAGUGAAACCUGUAGUUCAGAUUCAUGAUUGGAAAAGGACUGUCCAAAAAUGAAAGGGCAUCUGGAAACCCGGAUUCCUGUCUGGCUGUCUCAGCAGCACCAUCAUCAGCUGCUGGCUGUCACACAGGGUUCUAGCAAACCCUGCCUUGAAUGGAAGGAUUGACCAUUUAUUGGCCUAGAGUGAAUAUAGUUGUACAAAAGAAUGGAAGUUCUUAAGUCUUUUUGAGGUGUUGCACUUCUGUAAAACUUACUUAAAGUAUUUGUCCAGAUGCAAAAUGCCUGGGAUCAUUGUUUUAGAAUGAAUUUUAUUCACUAAACUUGACCCAGGAAACUUCUAUAAUCAGUUCUGUUAUUAAGAAACUUCUUUUUCAUUUGAUGUAUUCCUUUCUUCAUUUAUUCAUUCUUGAGACUUGGCACAACUCUUACAUAGAACAUACACAGAAGGAUAGAAAACAAGUGGCCUCUUCAUGUAAACUAAUCAAGAAGGAAGUGAAGCCACCCAAAUGUGGUCUAUGCCAUCUGUGACAAAUAGCAAAACUACGGCCACAGUUUUUUCCUUAACUGUUAACAGUAAAAUAUAAAAUCCUUUUUAUUAGUACCAGAUGUGAAGAAUGCUUAUUAAAAUGCCAUGGCUUAUUAAAUAACAUCACUUCAGACUCACUGAACUAAUAAAGAUUAGGUAUUUUUGCAUUAAAUGUCUGAAAUUAUGUAUUACACACUUCUAUUUCAAAUAUUUGAAUACUAAUAUACACAUACCAAAAUUUAUAUUUAGAAACAGAGAUUUAUACAUCAAGGGCUAAACUGAAAAAUGCUUAUAACCACAAAAGUAGGUUUCAUAUGCCUCUUAUGUUUAAGGUUUCUUGAGGUUUUUAUAUGGCACUGGAAAUAAGUGUUACAUACGUUAGAUUUAUAGGAAAAAGAGUAGAUUUUAAAUUAUAUAAUAUAUUCUAUAAUUUUUAGAAUAUUUUUCCUUGGCUUUCAUGGCAUAAUUAUUUGAGGAAGUCUGUGUUCUUUCCCUUCUCUCCCCUCCUUCCCACUGUCUAAUAUUUUCUCAAAACUAGUUGGGAAAGGAUAGCUUUAACAGCUAGACAGGAACCACUAUAGAGAAUUUUUUCAUAAAUAAAAAGAUUUUGUGUACUUCUCAUCAUGGCUAUGAUCAAAAUAUUUCAAAUUCAAAUUUAAAGUCAAUAAUGAGAAUUCAGUAAGAUAAAUAAAACAUCAUAUUUUUUAUCACUUCAUUAACUGAUAAUUUGGUUGAAACUCUUAAAAUUAUUAGAGAUUAUAAUGCUUUGAAAUAUUUCUUCCCCAUUUUUACCUAUAAUAUGUACUCAAUAUACUAGACAGGUAAUGGAGAGAGAUUUAGGAAAAGGUUUUACUUUUUCUGUUUGAGAUAUUUUUCACCUACAACAGUCAGUCUUAACUUACUUGGACCAAAGUCAGUGUGUAACAUUUACAGACCUUACAUUGUCCAAGGAAACAAAUUUCCAGUGGUAAUCUGGUGAUCAACCUUUUCCACUCAUUUCUACUUAGGCAUUAUUCAGUAAUAUUUAAAUUAGGGCCACUACUAAAUAUAAUCUAUUGAGUUUGAAAUCAACAGGUGGGUUCUGGAUAAAGUAAAGGGCACAUAGUAAAAUGACUUACAUGUUUACCUAUGAUUUUAUUUACUUUAGAAGUAUAUUUGACACUUGGUUUUCAAGGUUUAUAUGAGGGCAUUGAGAACAAAUGAGUCUUUUGUGUUUCAAAGCAGCAGGUGUUGAAAUAGCUUUCUAUUUGACUACUACUAUAGUAGGUAAAGUAUUUAUUACAUGUCCUAGUCUACCAAUAAAAAGUUAUCUGGGUGCUUUCAUGGUUAUCUAACAUAGUUACAUAUUUUAGUCUAGCAUAUUUGGAUAAGUAGGCAAAGGAUACAUGUUUGAAUAAAUCUAUUACCAAAAGCAAUUGUUUUAAAUCUAGCCCUAUCAUAGAACAAAUACCUAAAAUAUUUUUUAUCAUUAAAGUAUGUAUUAACAUGGAUUUAUAAUUACUAUGACUUUAGAAGCACUAGAAAAUUUACCACCUUCUGGGGAAUCUCACCAAAUGAGGCAAGUGACUCUAAUACUACUAAUCAAGAAAGAAACAAAGUCACCCAAAUGUGGUCUCUACCAUCUGUGGUCUGUGAUAAGUAUUAAAACCCACAAUCAUGAUUUUUCUAUGAGACUAUCCAUGAGCUAAUUCUAACAAUUUUUCAUGAAUUGCCCAUGAGAUAAUUCUAGCAAUUCUAGAGUUCCCAAAUCUCCAAUUUGGGUACUUAUCUGCUCCCAGACAACUGUACAACAGAAAGAACAGUUGAAGCACUCAGCAAAUGUUUAUUUCUAUACAUUUCUAUACCAACUAAGCACUCAACAAAUAUUUAUUUAAUAAAAUAUCUAUGUUUCAACAUAUGGGGUUGCCUUAGAUUGUGCAUCUCGUGAUUUUUUUUCCUCAGGGAUCUUUUAUUUUGUAAUUAUGAUAAAAUACACAUAACACAAAAUUUAUCAUCUUAACCAUUUUUAAGUACAGUGAUAUUAAUCCAACUACAUCAUUGUGCAACCAUCAACACCAUCCACUCAAGAAUUUUCAUUUUCCAAAACUGAAACUCUGUACUCAUUGAACAAUAAUUUCCCAUUACUUCCUCUCCCUAGUCCCUGGGAUCUAGUAAUUUUAAGUAAAAAUUAUCAUAUUAAAAUAUUGUCAUAUAUUCAUAAAAUACAUGUUCACCAUCACACUUAUGAAUUUUUAGAUUAACAUGUUAUAGACAAUGCAUAUUUUAUAUUUGUUCUUUUCUUCAAUAAUUUUCGUAGGAAAUGAGAGCUCCUAUGCCUCUGCUUCUCAUUUUACAAACAAUUUAAAUGGUUACAUGCAUCAGGGGCUCAUUUUCAAAUAUUUUCAACAUCUUUAUACUUCAGUAAUAUUUUUCAUUAUUCAAGGACACUGACUUUUGUUGCUUUAAUUUAGCAAAAAAUUGCUACUUUUUUCAAAUGACACUUCACAUUUACAAUGUUCAGACUUUUAAAUAUGUUUAAACAUCAUCCCACAUUUUUCUCCAAGUUGUAUCUUUUCUUUAUGUUUCUAGAGUUCACUGUAAUCUCAUGAACGUGUACCUUUUAUGGAAUAUUUAUAUUUAAGACAAAAUAAUACUUGACCAUACUUUUGUCAAAUGCUCUGUUUUAUCUGAGAAUCCCUGGUUCACUUGGGUUGCAUUGAUUUAUGUUUGGAGUCAAAUAAUCUGACCCUUCAUUCUUGUAUCAAGGGAAAUUAUUAUUAUUAUUAUUAUUAUUAUUAUUAUUAUUAUUAUUAUUAAUGUAUGAGUAACUCUAUUAGUACUCUAUCUCAAGGUAUGGUCAAAGAAGCCUAUUUAUUAUAUUUUACUUCCUCUUCAAACCCUCAGGCUGAAAUUUCUCUGUAGCAAUUCCUCUUAACUCCUAAGUGAGAAUUUUUUAAACAGCUGAACAUGAAUAAUUCUACCAGGUUAUUUCUAUGUUUAUAUGCUUAUUAAAACAUUGCUGAAUUAAGAAAAAUAAUUCUUAAUAUUAUAUUACAUUCAGGUAACACAACUUAUUUUGCUUUCUAAUUUUACCCUACUUGUUAUUCCAGGUCAACUAGUCAUUAAAUAAAUUUGCUUCCAGCCCAAGUCAGAACCAUUUUAUUGGUUGCAUAGGGUUCACUCUAGAGCAGAAAAUAGGCAUUUACUUAAUAUUAUUUGAGAAAUCUUUCCCCUCCUGUGUGUCACAGUGUCUGGAGGCUUGCCAUUGAAGGUUCGUUUCUUGUGUUUAUCGUCAGAUGGUAGGUACCCCUUAAUGUUUGAAUAUCCAUGGGAAGAGAGACUCUUCUCAUUGUCAGUCACCAACAGUUUUAUGAAUUUGCUAUUACCCCAGGGCAAGUAUGAACAGAGAAAUAAGGGAAGGUGGGGAGAGGAAGAGAGAUAGAGAUACAGAUAGAGAUAAAUAGAUAAUAGAAAAAGGGUUGGUAGAACAAAACUUUAUGUCAGUAUUUUGCCUCUUUCAUUCCAAAUUCCCAUAGAGUAUUAUAUACCUGAUACUUUGAAAAAAUAAAGUGUAACCCUCUGUUUUUCAGAAUUUCUUUCAGAAUAAUCAACAAAUAUUUACUUUAUGCUUCCUCUGUGAUACUCAUGGGUGUCAUUAUAUAUCACAUGAAUUAUUGUAUUUACUCCUCUUCAAGAAACUCUAUUUUACCGAUGAGGAAAUAAGACAAAGAAAUUUGGUAACUUUCUUGAGGUCAUGCAGAUAGUAGCUGUCUUUCUGAUUGCUAAACUUAGGAUCCUAACCUCUGCAGUGUUGAUUUUUAGGGUCAUGGGGGACUAUUGAAGGGUCUUUUUUAAAAAAAAUUUAUUUGUUCUUUUUAGUUAUACAUAACAGUAGAAUGUAUUUUGACACAUCAUACCUACAUGGAGUAUAACUUCCCAUUCUUGUGGUUGUACCUAAUGUGGAGUUAUACAUGGUCAUGUAUUCAUACAUGAACACAGAAAGUUAUGUCUGAUUCAUUCUACUGUCUUUCCCAUCACUCCUAUUUCCCCCACUUCCCCCAUUCAAUUCAGUGACACUCUGCUGCUUCCUCCCUACUACCUAUUGUGAGUCAGCAUCCACAUAUCAGAGAAAACAUUCUACCUUUGUUUUUUUGGGAUUGGCUUAUUUCACUUAGCAUGAUAGUUUUAAGUUCCAUCCACUUACCAUCAAAUGAUGUAAUUUCAUUCUUCUUGAAGGGUAUUAAGACAAUUAAUGUAAUCACAUUGUUUUUAGAAAGAUUAAACUGUGAAUAAGAAAAAUAAGGCUGGAGUCAGACUAGGAAGUUAGGAAGCUGAGUUACCUAGGUAAGUUAGGAACCUGAGUUACCUAUGUUGUCCAGGAGGUGUAAGUAAGAAUGAAAAGUGAUGGAUUGACUAAAGUAAGAUUUGGGAGUAGACAACAACAGGAUUUAGUGAGAAUAGGAAGAGAAAUAAAGGAUGAGCUCUGGAUUCCUGAUUUGAAUAGUGAUGCCAUUCAUUAAGAAAGGAACAUAGAAAGAGGAUCAGUUUAGAUCUGGAAGUGUCUGGCCAAGAGAGUGGAGAGGAGGUUGUAGGAAGGCAGCAGAGGAUUCUGAAUUUUGAACACAUGGAGUUUAAGGUGUCUACUAAAGCAUGUGUAAAUCAGAUUGCCACUCAGCACUUGGCUCCAUUGACCUGGAGCUCAAGGCAAGAAUCCAGGUUGGAGAUAUAAAUCUGAAGGUUAUCAGAAUAUGAACGGAAAGUAAAUGAUGUCACUAUGGAAGAACCUACAAACUAAGGAGAGAAAGCCCAACUUCAAUCCCCGAUGAAACAAAAUAAUACUAAAGUAAAUGAACUUAACCUGUAAGGAGGACAAAGGCACAGGGCAGCAAACCAGUAAAAUGAUAAGGAAUAGUCAGAGGGUAGAAAAGACUGUAGGGACAGAGCGGGAGAACAGAGGGCAGAAGGAUCAUCUUCUGAUGAUGUACUUUGUAUACAAUCAGAUAUGAAAAAUUGUGCUCUAUAUGUGUAAUGUGAAUUGUAAUGCAUUCUGCUGUCAUAUGUAACAAAUUGGAAUAAAAAAAAAGAAGGGAGGAGCGGUCAGCUGCAUUAGCUGCUGUGUUAUUGGGGGAUCAAGUGAGGCAGAGACUGGAUUUAGCACUAAGGAGAUUCCUGGUGAUUUGAGGGCAGUAGAAUAAUCGAUAGAAACUGGAAUUGAGUCUUCUCUGUUAGUAAGUAGAUUCAAAUCUUUACUUAAGUCAGAGAAAAAUAACUUGAUUCAUCUUCCCCAUCAGUAAGUAUUAUAAUUACUUUUAUAAUUCCAAAUGAGUUGUGUAGUCCCUCAAAUAAUUCAAUUUUAAUGCUUCAUUUGGCACUUUAUUUUUAUUUCUGGAGGCCCUUUGAUUCUGAUUUUAUAAUCUGACUCUUGUUUUGAGCCUGAUGAUGAUAUUCUUGACAAAAUGGUAUAAUUUUGAGAUAUUAAGAGAGUCAUGAUUUUUUACAGGUGCUCUCUGACAAACGAAGCAAAGAAAGAGCAGGUAAGUCUCCUUGAUCAGCUGUGUUUUACUGUUUAUUGAUAGAAAAUGUUUGAAGAGUUUUGUCUAAUUCCUGUAAGUUUAAGCAUGCCAUAAGUAUUCUGAAUCAUUGAUAGAAAGUCGAUGGUCACUGUGUGAUGUUAAAUCAGAAUAUGUUAUACAUCUUGGAGACUGAAUUAACUCACUUUGUUCUUUCAUAAUCCUCAUGCCAUUAUUUUGUAUGUUUAUCCCCAUUUGGUAAGGUUGAUUUCAUACAGAGAAAACUUGUUUUGCAUAAGUAGUCUUUAUCUUAAAAUGCAUGCUAUAAAUUCAAUAAGAAUUAAAUAGAAAGUUAUAUCUGUACUGAAAAAUCCGCUUAGAAGAGAAGUGAUUUUGAGAAAAUAGUACGUAUGAGGCCACCAUCUCCAAUGUCUUUGAGUUUGGAGAUGUUUUGUGUAAGUCCAGCUAUUUUCUAUCUUAAUUUAUUGAUUUUUUAUUUUAGUGACUUUGUAAAGUAAGAGCUAAUGACUACCUGAAUCAGCUACUUACCGCCCUUCAGCAUCUGUCUUUUACUCUUGGCUUCUUCAUUGUGGAUGCAACAUUGAAAUCUCCUCCUAUUCAUUGUGGAUACAACAUGAAAUCUCCUCAUCAGUCCUUAGGUCAUAUUGGCAUUUACAUACUUAAACAUGGGAAAGAGCCACCUCAAAAUCCUUUUCCUUCAUAUUGGUAGAAUUACAUGUUUCUGAACUGCUUCAAUAUGAAAAUUAAAACUUCUUUUCUCUUGAGUUUUUAUCAUUAAAGCCUGAUUUUGAAAUAAUCUUGUCAAAUAAUGCCUCUAAAAAUAACAGUCUAAUGCUGCCUUCAUCUACAUUGUUAAUCAUCAUUAUUUCCAUUUUUAUAUAUUCAUUUUUCUAUCAUCUGUUAGGAACCAAUUUUAGUUCAUUAUUCAAAAACUCAAGAUCUUAGCUUUAGUGCCUAUUAAUAUUACCACUGGAUCUCUGGGAUAUAUAAUAAUUACUUAUCUAUGGUUUUGGAGUCUAGAGUUAUAGUUACCUGAGGUCAGCCUUGGUCUGAAAACAUUAAAUGGAAAAUUCCAGAAAAAAAAUUCCAUAAAUUUUAAAUCAUAUGCAGUUCUGAGUAGUAUGAUGAAAUCUGUAUUUCCCACUACAUCCUGCUCAAGUGUGGAUUUUUCCCUUUCUUCUCCAUCCACACUAUCUGUGCUACCCUCCUACUACUUACUUACUAGCUUGUCAGCAGAUUGAUUGUUGUGAUAUCACAGUGAUCAUGUUCAAGUAACCUGUAUUUUGCUUAAUAAUGGCCCCAAAGCACAAGAAUAAUGAUACUAGAAAUUUUCUUGUAGUAUAAUGCAUUAAUAGUUCUAUUAGUACUUACUGCCAAUCUCUCACUGUGUCUAAAUGAUAAGUUAAGCUUUAUCAUGUUCAUGUAUGUAAAGGAAAAAGGCAUAGUAUAUGUAGGAUUUGGCGCUACCCACAGUUUCAAGCACCCACUGUGGUUCUUGGAACAUGUCACCCCUGAAUAAGGGGGACUGCUAUCCUUCCAGCUCCUGGAAAGAUUUGCAAGAAGAACUUUUCAGUAGACCAUGGGCUAUAGUGACUAGAUGGAACGUUGUUAUGAAGUGAUGAAGUGUUUUCAGGGAGUAUGCUGAGCCUAGCAGCCGUCUCACUAAAAUUAUCAAUCAGAAUUUGUUCCUCCUGUUCUAUGAAAUGCUUGUAGCAUCAAACAUGCACACUUUUAUCUAUGUCUACAUUUAUGCUUGGAACUUUAACUAUAUUUAACUUUCAACCACCUGACAUCUAAAAGGGAAAUAAGCAAAGCCCUCUUAAAAUUGUACAAAUGUGUCCAAAUAGUAAAUUAUACCAAGUAGAACCCUUUGUGCCUCAUGUCUCUUAUUGAGAUUCCAACCUGAAUCCAAGGAGUUGAUGAUACAUUUGCCUCAGCAAAGAAUGUGCUUCACUCCAGAAAUGACCUAAUUAGGACUUUUCACAAGUGAGAAGCCUGUGAAACCCUUAGACAAAUAAAAUGUUUCUUCUGGAGAUUUGACAAUUGGAGUGAAAGAGAUCUAUUGUCUUCAUAUCAUAAACAUGUCCAGCUUAUAUCUGAAGAAUAGUUUUGGUCCAAUAAAAUCUAUUGUUGAGAAAUUGGUAAACAAG